CUGCAUUUUCUUCACCUGCGCUGGCAGCCUAUGAUGCACCUACGUCUAUGUCUGAGAGAUGUAUGGGCUUAGAAGGACCAGAACCUAUUUUUUACAAGACUCGGUUUUGGUAAUAGCAUUCCACGUAAUUAACCCCUCCUCUCUCUUUGUAAAAAAUAAUCAUCCUCAUUCAUCCAUCGAUUCAACACCAACAGGUGGAAAAUUGAUGCAUAAAUUAUUUUUACCAGUGGAAAAAUCAUAAUACGGUGGAAGGAAAUUUAGAAAAAUGCAAUCACUGUAUAUAAUGUGCCUUGUAUUAGCACCUAGGGAAUACAUUCCUUGUAUUAGAUAUAUUCAUUUUUUUGUAACCCAUAUAAACCCCCAAAAUAUAUAAAUACACACUCUAACAAUAGUUAUCCGCGUAAUGGAAAAGUUGGUUACCGAUGGCAGAGGAGGACCCCACGGCGGAGCACGGCCUCAAGCUUGCCAUCAAAGACUACCCUUUCGCUAAUGACGGGAUCCUCAUCUGGGGCGCGUUCAAGGGGUGGGUGCUGGCAUACGUCUCCUGGUAUUACUGGGACGUUGCCACCGUCGCCGGCGACGUGGACCUACAGGCGUUCUGGAAGGAGGUGUGCACCUGGGACACGGCGAUAAGAAGCAUGCGCCCUGGUAGCCUAAGCUGGAUACGCCGGAGAGCCUAGCGCACACGCUCACCACCAUCAUCUGGAUCGCGGCGGCGCAGCACACGGCGGUCAACUUCCGGUAGUAUGACUUCGGGGGACACUUCCCGAACCGCCCCUCCAUCGCUCGCACCAACAUGCCGGUGGAGGAGCCUGUGGACAACCAGGCGCUCCGAGAAUGCUUCCCGUCGCAGGUGCAGGCAAAGCUUGUGAUGACGGUUUUGGACGUGUUGUCCAGUCACUCUCCUGACGAGGAGUACCUCGGAGGGAUGGAGAGCGCACAUUGGGGCGACGACACCAUGGUGCAGGCGGCGUAACUGAGGUUCAACGAGUGUCUUAAGGAGGUGGAUGGGAUCAUCGACGGAAGGAACAAGGACAGGAAGCUCAAGAACCGGUGCCGUGCCGGCAUCGUGCCGUAGCAGCUCAUGAAACCAUUCUCCCAGCCCGGCGUCACCGGCAAGGGCAUCCCCAACAUCAUCUCCAUUUGAUUCUACAGAGCUAAAAUAAACCACAUGUCUCUGAUCCCUUUUCUAGCUGAUGAGUUCGACGCACUUGUGGAAAACCUGCUGCGAGGUGCUUGCCGUCUGAACAACUACAGCGCCGUGACAACUCACAAGCAUGAAUCUUACAUUCUUAAGAAGUUGUUCCAAUUCUCACAACAAAUAGUUCAUUUCAGUCUUAUAUUUUCUUUUCAUUAGAUUUAGUUAUUUUUCCCAACUAUUUGUGCAUUUUUUAACAAAUUACUGCAGCAACGCGUGGGAUAUCAUCUAGUCAUUACAAGUUUUUGACAACCUUCACAGAAACUCCGACAUAAUACAAGGCAAAAACCAAAAAGCACCAUCUCGCAAGAUGCUAAGAAGAUCAGUUGCUGGUUAAGCCAAGGCCGUCGCUGUUGCCGUAACAGAUUAUUUGCUUCAUUCUUUCAAAUUAAUACUUCUAUAAUGUAUAAACUAUGGCGGAUACUUCAGUUCAUUGAUCUAUACAUCAAAGCGAAAGCUUAUUUCAAGAGAAUAAUAAGAAGACUUGACGUUUCACAGAAGGCCUGGCAAAUGUUGGUUUCGCUUUGUAGAUCUAAUCUACAUCAUCUACAACUUCUGUUUUGAAAGUUGGGGUUUGCUUCGUACAACUCCUUUAGAAAUGUAUACAAAUCACUUCUUCUUCAGUACAAGUACAACCACCUUAAACACAUCGAUGUACCAAAUCUGUCAAUAUCCCUUCGUAACAAAGGGCAAGAUGGUCUUUUUUAAAGUAUUUUUUUAUAUGUGGCUUGUGUACGUCCCACACACACUCUCCCCGGCCUGGGCCAACACAUUUUAUACAUUUUUUCACUUUGGUAAACCUUUAAAAAAUAAAUGCCUUGACAACAUUCGAACCCAGCACCUAUUUGCUUAGUACAACAACAAUGAUGAACUGGCCAACUUUCUUAUUGUGUCUAACUAGCACAAAUGCUCGUGCAUUGCAACGGGAGAAUACACCGCCUUUUAUGAAUCAUAGUUACCCGAGUCGAGAGGGCGCUGAUCAGAAAUAAGAAGAUGGAUGAUUUGAGUAUAUUGUGACUUGAGAUUUUGAGUAAAUUGACAUGCGUGUUCAUUCUGAAAUUUAGAAGUAGAACAUGAAAAAAAUAGCAAUAUCAAUAAAUCUGAAGUAACAGUAGCAGCAAACAAAUCAACCUGAAAUAACAAUUGCAACAAUAGCAAGCAAACAAACCUGUAAUGAUAUUAGCUGCAAAAAUUCUCAACCUACGGUUUGCAACGGAAAAAAAAAAUAUAUACCACAUGCACCUAACUCAAUACCCAACGCCCUCUAUUUGAACUAUUAUACUGAUAUCAGUAAGCACUCUUCCUGGAAUAGGCAAGGGAAAAGGAAAUUUAUGACUCCUAGAAGGAACUUGUGGUGAACACAAGAAACCUACAAAAUUAGUCAAGGAAAUGAUGGCCGUGCAUUGCUACGGGUUGCCAUCCGGAUCAUUGAUUUUAGAAGUAAAAAAAUGCUCUCAUUUCCUCCGAUUCCAUUUGCUUUAGAUGUGCAUUGCUCUCAAGUGGAAGGGAUGUGGUUGGAAAGGGAAGAGCACACAGAAAAGUUUCAUCAAGUGCAACAUGUAAUCUGAUUAUUAAGUACACUACUAGGAAAAGGGCUAUAGAUGAUAUGACCACUAAUGACGCACCAGAAACGUGGUGCGUCACUACUAUAUAGUAAUGGUGCACCAUGAGCUGGUGCGCCAUUAGUAACAUUGUUUUUCCAAAAAUACUAAUGGCACACCAGGGAAGAAUGCGCCAUUACUAGUUUAAUUAGUAAUGGCGAACCUCCAACACAGUGUGCAACUACUAUUUUUUUUUGCAAAACUACUAUCAUUUUUAUUUUUCGAACUCAUGAAUAUUUUUAAAUUUAAUUCAUGGGUACUUUUUGAAUUCAUGAAUAUUUUUUCAAAUUUGAUGAUAUUUUUUCAUAUUCAAUAUGAAAAAAUAUUGAAUAUUCAUGAGGACACUCGAUCUCGAUCCCCCUCCAUCUCGAUCGCUAUCCCCCUCGCUGCCGAGCACCCCCCGCACCCUCCCCCCGCUUCNNNNNNNNNNNNNNNNNNNNNNNNNNNNNNNNNNNNNNNNNNNNNNNNNNNNNNNNNNNNNNNNNNNNNNNNNNNNNNNNNNNNNNNNNNNNNNNNNNNNNNNNNNNNNNNNNNNNNNNNNNNNNNNNNNNNNNNNNNNNNNNNNNNNNNNNNNNNNNNNNNNNNNNNNNNNNNNNNNNNNNNNNNNNNNNNNNNNNNNNNNNNNNNNNNNNNNNNNNNNNNNNNNNNNNNNNNNNNNNNNNNNNNNNNNNNNNNNNNNNNNNNNNNNNNNNNNNNNNNNNNNNNNNNNNNNNNNNNNNNNNNNNNNNNNNNNNNNNNNNNNNNNNNNNNNNNNNNNNNNNNNNNNNNNNNNNNNNNNNNNNNNNNNNNNNNNNNNNNNNNNNNNNNNNNNNNNNNNNNNNNNNNNNNNNNNNNNNNACAAAUUUGAUGAUAUUUUCAAUUAAAAAUAAAAAACAAAUUUGAUGAUAUUUUAAAAAAAACAAAUUUGAUGAUAUUUGAUGAUAUCUUCUGUUCUAGUCCUCAUGAAAAUAACAAAUUUGAUAAAAAACAAAUUAUUAGAUGCAACAAGAAAUAAUAAAAAAAAGAAGUUACUAAUGGCGCAUCGGAGGAGGGUGCACCAUUGCUAUCAGAAAAAAAUUUACUAAUGGCGCACCAGAGGAUUGUGCGCCAUUGCUAUGAGUGUUUUUAUGGCGCACCCGUAGUGUUGGGGAACGCAGUAAUUUCAAAAAAAUUCCUACGCACACGCAAGAUCAUGGUGAUGCAUAGCAAUGAGAGGGGAGAGUGUUGUCUACGUACCCAUGCAGACCGACUGCGGAAGCGUUGACGCAACGUAGAGGGAGUAGUCGUACGUCUUCCCGAUCUGACCGAUCCAAGCACCGUUACUCCGGCACCUCCGAGUUCUUAGCACACGUACAGCUCGAUGACGAUCCUCGGGCUCCGAUCCAGCAAAGCGUCGGGGAGGAGUUCCGUCAGCUCGACGGCGUGGUGAUGAUCUUGAUGUUCUACCAUCACAGGGCUUCGGCUAAGCACUGCUACAAUAUAAUCAAGGUGGAAUAUGGUGGCAGGGGGCACCGCACACGGCUAAGGAACGAUCUCAAUGAUCAACUCGUGUGUCUAGGGGUGCCCCCCUGCCCCCGUAUAUAAAGGAUCCAAGGGGGAGGGGGCGGCCGGCUAGGAGGAGGGCGCAGGGGGAGUCCUACUCCUACCGGAAGUAGGACUCCCCCCCCCCAAUCCUAGUUGGAAUAGGAUUCCCCGAGGGGGAAAGAGAGAGAGGGGGGCCGACCACCUCUCUUUGUCCUAAUAGGACUAGGCGAGGGGGGAGGCACGCGGCCCACCUUGGGCUUCCCCUUUCUCCUUUCCACUAAAGCCCACUAAGGCCCAUACAGCUCCCGGGGGGUUCCGGUAACCACCCGGUACACCGGUAAAAUACCGAUUUCACCCGAAACACUUCCGAUAUCCAAACAUAGGCUUCCAAUAUAUCAAUCUUUAUGUCUCGACCAUUUCGAGACUCCUUGUCAUGUCCGUGACCACAUCCGGGACUCCGAACUAACUUCGGUACAUCAAAAUGCAUAAACUCAUAAUAACUGUCAUCGUAAUGUUAAGCGUGCGGACCCUACGGUUCGAGAAUAAUGCAGACAUGACUGAGACACAUCUCCGGUUAAUAACCAAUAGCGGGACCUGGAUGCCCAUAUUGGUUCCUACAAUUCUAUGAAGAUCUUUAUCGGCCAGACCGCAUAACAACAUACGUUGUUCCCUUUGUCAUCGGUAUGUUACUUGCCCGAGAUUCGAUCGUCGGUAUCCAAUACCUAGUUCAAUCUCGUUACCGGCAAGUCUCUUUACUCGUUCCGUAAUACAUCAUCUCGCAACUAACUCAUUGGCUGCAAUGCUUGCAAGACUUAUGUGGUGUGCAUUACCGAGAGGGCCCAGAGAUACCACUCCGACAAUCGGAGUGACAAAUCCUAAUCUCGAAAUACGCCAACCCAACAUCUACCUUUGGAGACACAUGUAGAGCUCCUUUAUAAUCACCCAGUUACGUUGUGACGUUUGGUAGCACACAAAGUGUUCCUCCGGUAAACGGGAGUUGCAUAAUCUCAUAGUCAUAGGAACAUGUAUAAGUCAUGAAGAAAGCAAUAGCAACAUACUAAACGAUCGGGUGGUAAGCUAAUGAAAUGGGUCAUGUCAAUCAGAUCAUUCAACUAAUGAUGUGACCUUGUUAAUCAAAUAACAACACCUUGUUCAUGGUUAGGAAACAUAACCAUCUUUGAUUAACGAGCUAGUCAAGUAGAGGCAUACUAGUGACACUAAGUUUGUCUAUGUAUUCACACAUGUAUUAUGUUUCCGGUUAAUACAAUUCUAGCAUGAAUAAUAAACAUUUAUCAUGAUAUAAGGAAAUAAAUAAUAACUUUAUUAGUGCCUCUAGGGCAUAUUUCCUUCAGUCUCCCACUUGCACUAGAGUCAAUAAUCUAGAUUACACAGUAAUGAUUCUAACACCCAUGGAGCCUUGGUGCUGAUCAUGUUUUGCUCGUGGAAGAGGCUUAGUCAACGGGUCUGCAACAUUCAGAUCCGUAUGUAUCUUGCAAAUCUCUAUGUCUCCCACCUGGACCAGAUCCCAGAUGGAAUUGAAGCAUCUCUUGAUGUGUUUGGUCCUCUUGUGAAAUCUGGAUUCCUUUGCCAAGGCAAUUGCACCAGUAUUGUCACAAAAGAUUUUCAUUGGACCCGAUGCACUAGGUAUGACAUCUAGAUCGGAUAUGAACUCCUUCAUCCAGACUCCUUCGUUCGCUGCUUCCGAAGCAGCUAUGUACUCCGCUUCACAUGUAGAUCCCGCUACGACGCUUUGUUUAGAACUGCACCAACUGACAGUUCCACCGUUUAAUGUAAACACGUAUCCGGUUUGCGAUUUAGAAUCGUCCGGAUCAGUGUCAAAGCUUGCAUCAACGUAACCUUUUACGGUGAGCUCUUUGUCACCUUCAUAUAAGAGAAACAUAUCCUUAGUCCUUUUCAGGUAUUUCAGGAUGUUCUUGACCGCUGUCAAGUGAUCCACUCCUGGAUUACUUUGGUACCUCCCUGCUAAACUUAUAGCAAGGCACACAUCAGGUCUGGUACACAGCAUUGCAUACAUGAUAGAGCCUAUGGCUGAAGCAUAGGGAACAUCUUUCAUUUUCUCUCUAUCUUUUGCAGUGGUCGGGCAUUGAGUCUUACUCAACUUCACACCUUGUAACACAGGCAAGAACCCUUUCUUUGCUUGAUCCAUUUUGAACUUCUUCAAAACUUUGUCAAGGUAUGUGCUUUGUGAAAGUCCAAUUAAGCGUCUUGAUCUAUCUCUAUAGAUCUUAAUGCCUAAUAUGUAAGCAGCUUCACCGAGGUCUUUCAUUGAAAAACUUUUAUUCAAGUAUCCCUUUAUGCUAUCCAGAAAUUCUAUAUCAUUUCCAAUCAGUAAUAAUGUUAUCCACAUAUAAUAUCAGAAAUGCUAGAGAGCUCCCACUCACUUUCUUGUAAAUACAGGCUUCUCCAAAAGUUUGUAUAAAACCAAAUGCUUUGAUCACACUAUCAAAGCGUUUAUUCCAACUCCGAGAGGCUUGCACCAGUCCAUAAAUGGAUCGCUGGAGCUUGCACACUUUGUUAGCUCCCUUUGGAUCGACAAAACCUUCUGGUUGUAUCAUAUACAACUCUUCUUCCAGAAAUCCAUUCAGGAAUGCAGUUUUGACAUCCAUAUGCCAAAUUUCAUAAUCAUAAAAUGCGGCAAUUGCUAACAUGAUUCGGACAGACUUAAGCACCGCUACGGGUGAGAAGGUCUCAUCGUAGUCAAUCCCUUGAACUUGUCGAAAACCUUUUGCGACAAGUCGAGCUUUGUAGACAGUAAUAUUACUGUCAGCGUCAGUCUUCUUCUUGAAGAUCCAUUUAUUCUCAAUUGCUUGCCGAUCAUCGGGCAAGUCAACCAAAGUCCAUACUUUGUUCUCAUACAUGGAUCCCAUCUCAGAUUUCAUGGCUUCAAGCCACUUUGAGGAAUCUGGGCUCACCAUCGCUUCUUCAUAGUUCGUAGGUUCAUCAUGAUCUAGCAGCAUGAUUUCCAGAAUAGGAUUACCGUACCACUCUGGUGCGGAUCUCGCUCUGGUUGAUCUACGAGGUUCAGUAGUAUCUUUUUCUGAAGUUUCAUGAUCAUUAUCAUUAACUUCCUCACUUAUUGAUGUAGGUGUCGCAGAAACAGUUUUCUGUGAUGUACUACUUUCCAACAAGGGAGCAGGUACAGUUACCUCGUCAAGUUCUACUUUCCUCCCACUCACUUCUUUCGAGAGAAACUCCUUCUCUAGAAAGGAUCCAUUCUUAGCAAUGAAUGUCUUGCCUUCGGAUCUGUGAUAGAAGGUGUACCCAACAGUCUCCUUUGGGUAUCCUAUGAAGACACAUUUCUCCGAUUUGGGUUCGAGCUUAUCAGGUUGAAGCUUUUUCACAUAAGCAUUGCAGCCCCAAACUUUAAGAAACGACAACUUUGGUUUCUUGCCAAACCACAGUUCAUAAGGCGUCGUCUCAACGGAUUUUGAUGGUGCCCUAUUUAACGUGAAUGCGGCCGUCUCUAAAGCAUAACCCCAAAACGAUAGCGGUAAAUCAGUAAGAGACAUCAUAGAUCGCACCAUAUCUAGUAAAGUACGAUUACGACGUUCGGAAACACCAUUGCGCUAUGGUGUUCCGGGUGGCGUGAGUUGCGAAAAUAUUCCACAAUUUUUCAAAUGUACACCAAACUCGUAACUCAAAUAUUCUCCUCCACAAUCAGAUCGUAGAAACUUUAUUUUCUUGUUAGGAUGAUUUUCAACUUCACUCUGAAAUUCUUUGAACUUUUCAAAUGUUUCAGACUUAUGUUUCAUUAAGUAGAUAUACCCAUAUCUGCUUAAGUCAUCUGUGAAGGUGAGAAAAUAACGAUAUCCGCCACGAGCCUUGAUAUUCAUCAGACCACAUACAUCUGUAUGUAUGAUCUCCAACAAAUCUGUUGCUCUCUCCAUAGUACCGGAGAACGGUGUUUUAGUCAUCUUGCCCAUGAGGCACGGUUCGCAAGUACCAAGCGAUUCAUAAUCAAGUGGUUCCAAAAGCCCAUCAGUAUGGAGAUUCUUCAUGCGUUUUACACCGAUAUAACCUAAACGGCAGUGCCACAAAUAAGCUGCACUAUCAUUAUCAACUCUGCAUCUUUUGGCUUCAACAUUAUGAAUAUGUAUUACUACUAUCGAGAUUCAAUAAGAAUAGACCACUCUUCAAGGGUGCAUGACCAUAAAAGAUAUUACUCAUAUAAAUAGAACAACCAUUAUUCUCUGAUUUAAAUGAAUAACCGUCUCGCAUUAAACAAGUUCCAGAUAUAAUGUUCAUGCUCAACGCUGACACCAAAUAACAAUUAUUUAGGUCUAAUAUUAAUCCCGAAGGUAGAUGUAGAGGUAGCGUGCCGACCGCGAUCACAUCGACUUUGGAACCGUUUCCCACGCGCAUCGUCACCUCGUCCUUCGCCAGUGUUCGCUUAAUCCGUAGUCCUUGUUUCGAGUUGCAAAUAUUAGCAACAGAACCAGUAUCAAAUACCCAGGUGCUACUGCGAGCUCUAGUAAGGUACACAUCAAUAACAUGCAUAUACCUUUGUUCACCUUGCCAUCCUUCUUAUCCACCAAAUACUUGGGGUAGUUCCGCUUCCAGUGACCAGUCUGCUUGCAGUAGAAGCACUCAGUUUCAGGCUUAGGUCCAGACUUGGGUUUCUUCUCCUGAGCAGCAACUUGCUUGCUGUUCUUUUUGAAGUUCCCUUUCUUCUUCCCUUUGCCCUUUUUCUUGAAACUAGUGGUCUUGUUAACCAUCAACACUUGAUGCUCCUUCUUGAUUUCUACCUCCGCAGCUUUCAGCAUUGCGAAGAGCUCAGGAAUAGUCUUGUUUAUCCCUUGUAUAUUAUAGUUCAUCACGAAGCUCUUGUAGCUUGGUGGCAGUGAUUGGAGAAUUAUGUCAAUGACGCAAUCAUCUGGAAGAUUAACUCCCAUCUGAAUCAAGUGAUUAUUAUACCCAGACAUUUUAAGUAUAUGCUCACUGACAGAACUGUUCUCCUCCAUCUUGCAGCUAUAGAACUUAUUGGAGACUUCAUAUCUCUCAAUCCGGGCAUUUGCUUGAAAUAUUAACUUCAACUCCUGGAACAUCUCAUAUGCUCCAUGACGUUCAAAACGUCGUUGAAGUCCCGAUUCUAAGCCUAAAGCAUGGCACACUGAACUAUCAAGUAGUCAUCAGCUUUGCUCUGCCAGACGUUCAUAACAUCUGGUGUUGCUCCAGCAGCAGGCCUGGCACCCAGCGGUGCUUCCAGGACGUAAUUCUUCUGAGCAGCAAUCAGGAUAAUCCUCAAGUUACAGACCCAGUACGUGUAAUUGCUACCAUCAUCUUUCAACUUUGCUUUCUCAAGGAACGCAUUAAAAUUCAACGGAACAACAACACGAGCCACCUAUCUACAAUCAACAUAAACAAGCAAGAUACUAUCAGGUACUAGUUCAUGAUAAGUUUAAGUUCAAUUAAUCAAAUUACUUAAGAACUCCCACUUAGAUAGACAUUCCUCUAAUCCUCUAAGUGAUCACGUGAUCCAAAUCAACUAAACCAUAACCGAUCAUCACGUGAGAUGGAGUAGUUUUCAAUGGUGAACAUCGUUAUGUUGAUCAUAUCUACUAUAUGAUUCACGCUCGACCUUUCGGUCUCUGUGUUCCAAGGCCAUAUCUGCAUAUGCUAGGCUCGUCAAGUUUAACCUGAGUAUUCCGCGUGUGCAAAACUGGCUUGCACCCACUGUAGAUGGACGUAGAGCUUAUCACACCCGAUCAUCACGUGGUGUCUGGGCACGACGAACUUUGGCAAUGGUGCAUACUCAGGGAGAAUACUUCUUGAUAAUUUAGUGAGAGAUCAUCUUAUAAUUCUACUGUCAAUCAAAGCAAGAUAAGAUGCAUAAAAAGAUAAACAUCACAUGCAAUCAAUAUAAGUGAUAUGAUAUGGCCAUCAUCAUCUUGUGCUUGUGAUCUCCAUCUCCGGAGCACUGUCAUGAUCACCAUCGUCACCGGCGCGACACCUUGAUCUCCAUCGUAGCAUCGUUGUCGUCUCGCCAAUCUUAUGCUUCCACGACUAUCGCUACCGUUUAGUGAUAAAGUAAAGCAUUACAUCGCGAUUGCAUUGCAUACAAUAAAGCGACAACCAUAUGGCUCCUGCCAGUUGCCGAUAACUUGGUUACAAAACAUGAUCAUCUCAUACAAUAAAAUUCAUCAUCAUGCCUUGACCAUAUCACAUCACAACAUGCCCUGCAAAAAUAAGUUAGACGUCCUCUACUUUGUUGUUGCAAGUUUUACGUGGCUACUACGGGCUUAAGCAAGAACCAAUCUCACCUACGCAUCAAAACCACAACGAUAGUUUGUCAAAUAGACUCCGUUUUAACCUUCGCAAGGACCGGGCGUAGCCACACUUGGUUCAACUAAAGUUGGAGAGACUGUCGCCCGCAAGCCACCUAUGUGCAAAGCACGUCGGGAGAACCGGUCUCGCGUAAGCGUACGCGUAAUGUCGGUCCGGGUCGUCUCGUCCAACAAUACCGCCGAACCAAAGUAUGACAUGCUGGUAGGCAGUAUGACUUAUAUCGCCCACAACUUACUUGUGUUCUACUCGUGCAUACAACAUCAAACCAUAAACCUAGGCUCGGAUGCCACUAUUGGGGAACGUAGUAAUUUCAAAAAGUUUCCUACGCACACGCAAGAUCAUGGUGAUGCAUAGCAACGAGAGGGGAGAGUGUUGUCUACGUACCCACGCAGACCGACUGCGGAAGCGUUGACGCAACGUAGAGGAAGUAGUCGUACAUCUUCCCGAUCCGACCGAUCCAAGCACCGUUACUCCGGCACCUCCGAGUUCUUAGCACACGUACAGCUCGAUGACGAUCCCCGGGCUCCGAUCCAGCAAAGCGUCGGGGAGGAGUUCCGUCAGCACGACGGCAUGGUGACGAUCUUGAUGUUCUACCGUCACAGGGCUUCGCCUAAGCACUGCUACAAUAUAAUCGAGGUGGAAUAUGGUGGCAGGGGGCACCGCACACGGCUAAGGAACGAUCUCAAUGAUCAACUUGUGUGUCUAGGGGUGCCCCCUGCCCCCGUAUAUAAAGGAUCCAAGGGGGAGGGGGCGGCCGGCCAGGAGAAGGGCGCAGGAGGAGUCCUACUCCUACCGNNNNNNNNNNNNNNNNNNNNNNNNNNNNNNNNNNNNNNNNNNNNNNNNNNNNNNNNNNNNNNNNNNNNNNNNNNNNNNNNNNNNNNNNNNNNNNNNNNNNNNNNNNNNNNNNNNNNNNNNNNNNNNNNNNGUUGGAAUAGGAUUCCCCGAGGGGGAAAGAGAGAGAGGGGGGCCGGCCACCUCUCCUUGUCCUAAUAGGACUAGGGGAGGGGGGAGGCGCGCGGCCCACCUUGGGAUGCCCGUUUCUCCUUUCCACUAAAGCCCACUAAGGCCCAUACAGCUCCCGGGGGGUUCCGGUAACCUCCCGGUACUCCGGUAAAAUACCGAUUUCACCCGGAACACUUCCGAUAUCCAAACAUAGGCUUCCAAUAUAUCAAUCUUUAUGUCUCGACCAUUUCGAGACUCCUUGUCAUGUCCGUGAUCACAUCCGGGACUCCGAACUAACUUCGGUACAUCAAAAUGCAUAAACUCAUAAUAACUGUCAUCGUAACGUUAAGCGUGCGGACCCUACGGUUCGAGAAUAAUGCAGACAUGACUGAGACACAUCUCCGGUCAAUAACCAAUAGCGGGACCUGGAUGCCCAUAUUGGUUCCUACAUAUUCUACGAAGAUCUUUAUCGGUCAGACUGCAUAACAACAUACGUUGUUCCCUUUGUCAUCGGUAUGUUACUUGCCCGAGAUUCGAUCGUCGGUAUCCAAUACCUAGUUCAAUCUCGUUACCGGCAAGUCUCUUUACUCGUUCCGUAAUACAUCAUCUCGCAACUAACUCAUUGGCUGCAAUGCUUGCAAGGCUUAUGUGAUGUGCAUUACCGAGAGGGCCCAAAGAUACCUCUCCGACAAUCGGAGUGACAAAUCCUAAUCUCGAAAUACGCCAACCCAACAUCUACCUUUGGAGACACCUGUAGAGCUCCUUUAUAAUCACCCAGUUACGUUGUGACGUUUGGUAGCACACAAAGUGUUCCUUCGGUAAACGGGAGUUGCAUAAUCUCAUAGUCAUAGGAACAUGUAUAAGUCAUGAAGAAAGCAAUAGGAACAUACUAAACGAUCGGGUGCUAAGCUAAUGAAAUGGGUCAUGUCAAUCAGAUCAUUCAACUAAUGAUGUGACCUCGUUAAUCAAAUAACAACACCUUGUUCAUGGUUAGGAAACAUAACCAUCUUUGAUUAACGAGCUAGUCAAGUAGAGGCAUACUAGUGACACUAAGUUUGUCUAUGUAUUCACACAUGUAUUAUGUUUCCGGUUAAUACAAUUCUAGCAUGAAUAAUAAACAUUUAUCAUGAUAUAAGGAAAUAAAUAAUAACUUUAUUAUUGCCUCUAGGGCAUAUUUCCUUCACGUAGAUGGUGUGCCAUUACUAACAUUCCCCCUCUAACUGGAUACCCCUUCGCCCGAUCCCCCCUUUCCUCUCCCUCGCCAGACCCCCCUUGCCUCCCCGCGCCCGCUCUACACCCGCUCCGUCUCCCCCACGCCACCGCCACCACGCCCCCGCGCCCCCCACCACUGCAUUCGCUGCACCACCGACGACCGCACGGGGUGCAGGACGACGACGCCGCCGACCCGCGAAGCACGUGGUCGCCGGCCUCCCCACGACCAACCGAGGCGCCCAGGAGGACCGCCGACGUCUUCCUCUUCGACUACGAGGACCCGGACGAGCUCGGACGCCCUCGAGCCAUCCCUUCAACGCCGCCGCCGCCACCGACCCCGACCCCGACCCCUCCGGCGACCGGCUGCGCCCGCCUAGGUACCUCUCCUCCUUCCUCCUUCCUCCCUCUCCACCCUUCCUCCCCAUUCCCUCCCUCCCUCCCCUCGACCGUUUGGAUUGGUAAUGGGGACUGGACUGCGUUCAUGAGUUGGCAGAAAGGAGCGAGAUCAUUCUGCAGUUUAUUCAGUUCUAACCGAAUAAAUGCCUAACCUCACACGUUCCUGCUCAUUCUAGCCUUCCAGAUGACCACUUACUAGCUAGAGUAGAUAGAUUAUCAGCCUAGGUACACUUCGCUAACCCAUGCAUCGUUCGUUUCGUCUUGAGCUAAUAAGCAAGUCCAACAACAAACACACAUCUAGGUACACCUAAGUUUUUCUUGACGAACACACCAAGUAAGUCCAACAACGAACACACCUAGGUACAGUGGCGGAGCUUGAAAGAAAUCUUAGGAGGGGCAAACAUUUUUUCUUCCCGAAUAUGGAAUUAUACCACUACGACAAAUUAGACAUUGAAAACUAUUGAGAAACUUCGAUAAGUAUAUUAAUCACAUUUCUAACGCUGAUUAUAUAUAUGAAAGCUAGUCCAUGAAAAAAUACCAAAAUAUUAUUUAACCAUGGAGUAUUGAGUUGAGUUCCCAGAGAAUCCUCUUGGCUUUUGGCUAUGGAUUGUAAUCCUAUUCACUAAUCAAUAAAACACUCAAUCUUCCCGCAAAAAAAUCAGCUCUUCGUUUCUUUGUCCUUAGUACAAAAUCUAUGACCUAUUCAAAACUUUCCCCAAGAAAUUAAGAUGCAAGAAUCUAUACAAGGAAGAAAUUUCCAGCGGGGAGUGGGUGGGCAAACUGCUCUUGCUUGCUGCUCACUAGCUCACUGCGUGCGGCGCCGAUCUCAGCUCUAACCUCUUCGCCACCUCUGGAUGGACGCCUUGCUAGCUGCCCGCCAACCCACACGCAGGCACGCUGAUCAGUGCCUCACCUCUACCUCUACGCAGGCGCUCACCCAUGCUCAUUCAACACAAGAUGGCAAGAGGAAAGAAUAGAAGAUGAUAGAAAUUAGAGUUGGUCGCUGGCUGCACUAGGUCGGAGCUAGUUUGUCUCCGUAAGGAGAUGUUAAAAGGGCCGUACAGGCUGGUAUGUGCAGUGCCGCCUCAUUACUAUGAUGGGGUAUUAAAAACGUUUCAUUUUUGCUGGGGGGGGGGGGGCGACCGCCCAGGUUCGCCCCCCAGAAGCUCCGCCGUUGCCUAGGUACACCAAGUUUGCAUGGGUGCACCAUCUUUUCAUUUAGACGAAAUAUAUACUUCCUCUAUUCAGAAACACUUAUCGCAAAAAUAAUAAAAACUGCAAAACAUUUAUGAAUAGUUCAUCUGUUUUCUUUGGCCAGUUGUGUAGAUAGAAUGCUAACUAAGUUGGGCCUGUUUGAUAAGUUAUAUAACUGCAGUACCUAUUAUUGCUACCGAUAUCAUUGGCUCAUUGCUGCCUUUGUGCAACGCAGAACUGUUAAGAGUGAUUUGGAGGAUUCAAGAUUCUGUGAAGCUCUUUUGACAUUUAAAGCUCAGAACUGAAGGUACUUAACAAACUCAAAAGCAUUUAGUCCAGACCUUGCAAUUUCUAUGUUUUUUUUUGUAUUGCUAGAUGAAUGGUAACAUCGUUUGACAGGUGAAUGUAGUUUGGUCCUACUUUCCUAAUUAAAUAGCACAUGUUUUGUUGAACAUCUAGAGAUUGUUGACAUGGAUAGACAUGCUGCCGAUUGUCAUAAGUACAUUAAAAAAACAAGUAUAAGACCAACAUUCAUGAUUUUUUUCAGCUAAAACUACUGAUGAUUUUUUGUUGGGUGACCUAUUAGAUCUGGAAUGGAAGCUCACAUAAGUUGAGCUGAUUUUUGUCCAUAUGAAAGCAGAGGACCAUAUGGUCUGUGGCCUUUUCAUCCAUAUGAAAGUAGAGGCACAUUGUGGUGCUAGUUUGCCGGGUUUUGUCUCCGACCAUCGUGUCGUGAUGAUUUUGCAGGUACCCUGAGAGGCCCUUGAGUUUGCCGGAAUGUCGAUUAACUUCCGUUCCGGCAAAUUCGGGUACUCCAUAUGUCCUAUUUUCAACAAAGGUCAUGCUGAAUUUUUCCGUGAAUUUUAGCAUGACUUUGCUAAAAAUAGGACAUAUGGGGUACUUGCGACUAAUGCAUAGGCCGGGGUAUCUUAGUACUUAAUUAAGUAGAAUCAACUGCCUCUUGUGUUAUACAUAUUCUAUUUGGAUGACCCUGCUAACCCUUGACCAUAAAUACUUGAGAUGGAUGUAGCAGGCUUAAAGAAAGAAAUGUUUUUAGGCCAACUCCACUGGGCCUAGCUGAAAAUGCACAAGUGUGCAUGACUAACAAUAUUCUAUUGUAAAGCUAAACAGGAAAGAGGAACCACUCAUCCUAACCAUUUGCUCUCAAAAUUACCACUUCACUUCUUACUACUGAAAAUCUUAGACCAUCUCCAUUCACCAAUAGCUCAAACCAGUUCGAAGGGUGUGUUUUCACCACACUGUGGAUUAUCUUAUUGGACCCAACACAAGGGAUGACGUAGUUUUGAAUUAUGAACGUAGGAUAUGUCGUCAUCGGACGAUGAAAGUCUCCCGGGGAAGUGCGGCUGGUGCCACGACGAUCGAGGUCUGUGCGACAUGCCUCACCUGGACGAUGAUCGACGCUUCAACAUUAAGCUUGAGGAGACAUUCGAAGUUGAAACGGUACACAAUGACUGACAAGUGUUAUUUUCAUAAUUAAGCAUGACUUCAACUAUUUCAAUGUGUAAUUUUCAUCUUUUACAAUUCGAGUGUAGCUUAUCCCAUGCCAUGCAAGACGCUAUGUCUUGGAGAGGAUGGAUUUUCAAGACCAUGAAAUUUCCGAAACAAAGAAAAUUCACCUAAGGACUCAUCACGAUGUGGAUUUUGAAGUAAAUCUGUAUAAUUCUGGGAGCGUACCCCAUUUUGGUUGCAAAAAUUGGGAAGCAUUUUGCAAGAUGUAUGGUUUUGAUGAGGGUAUGAUUGUCACCAUGGAUCUUGGUGAUCCUGACAUCGACCAAGACAAUAUGGACAUUUGGGUCCUUGUUGAUACGCCUCCAGUUCUACCGCUAUGUGAGUUUCUCAAACAUAGUUAAUUAUUAACUAAUUUAUAUUGUUUAUUUCAAAAUAGUUGACAACUUAUUUCCAUUGACAGCUUAUUUUUAUUGUUCAAAGAAUGCAUGGGAGAUGGUAGACAAAACCCACUACACCGAUGGCUCCGAAUUAACAACUUACAAGGAGAAAAAUCAUCUGGUCGGAUUUUGUACUGACAUUGAGAAUUACAAUAUCUACAAUCAAACUCCUCAACAUUAUGGUCAAUACAUGCCACUAGUGCAUGUGUUCAACUACGGUAACUACCAUGGAGAUACCCUGGUAAGAUUUUUUACUAUUACGACAUCCGUGCAUGUUUUGCAUACUUCUAAAACUAGUACAUCAUUGCUAAAUAUGAAGUUAUUACUAUAUUUUUCAACAGAUAAUUCCAGAGAAUUGCGUGCCUUAUUUGAUGUAUCAGAAAGGUAGUCUUAAUGUUUUGAACAUACAGCCAGGUCAUCCUACGAAUCUCAACUGUCCAUACGAGAUUUCUAAAAAAAGUGGAGACAUGAAAAUCAAAGGAUGGAAAAAUGUAUGGACAGUCGUAAGGAGGUUCUUAGAAGCAAAAAGAAGCGAAGCGCAAGAAUUGGAGACAGGAUGAUCUUCAUUCUCCAUAAUGGAGAGUCAGGGUCUAUAUUGUUUUAUGCUAUUUUACCUUAAAUAGGGUAUUUAGGUCCUGCCUAAUACUGAUGAUCAUGUGCUAAGAACAAUUAAGUAGGGUUGGUUCGAUGACUAUCAAGAUGAUGAUCGUAUGACUUGUUAUUAAUAACGAGUAGAAGUUGUAUGAUGAUGAUUAGUAGGACUUGUUAGGAUUAGUAUUACUUCCGACAAACUCGCUACUCGCGGUCUCGAGACUUGUAAUGUUCUAUCUUUGUUCGGUCUUUUGAAUUCGGAGACUCAUAUGAUGAAUUGUAUUUGGAGACUAAUCUUCUAUUGUAUUCGAUGAAUCUGCUGUUGCUGUGUGGUGCUAGCUAUAUUCUGUCCAAUAAUAUAUUUUGUAACCUGUGAAAAUAUCAGAAAAGAAAAAAAAUCCCUAAUAUUCAUACUAGUGGCGCACCACCACAUAGUGCGCCACUAGUAGCCAGAGCACACUAAUGGCGCAUCAUCCACCAGUGCGUCAUUAGUAUGCCAAAGCACAUGGGUAAAUAUGGCCCCCUGGGAGGUAUACUAAUGGCGCACCGUGGGCUAUACUAAUGGCGCACUACAGGUGCGCCACUAAUAGCACGCCAUUAGUAGGCAAAACAGGUGCGUCACUAGUAGACCUUUUCCUAGUAGUGGUAGAAGGUAUGCCAAAUGCUUGCAUGUGCUUCUCUAUUGAGUACAAAGCUUUCGUCACAAAACCACAGGAAAGUAUGAAUUGAGGCAAAUUUUCCUUUGAAGUGCUAGCAAAUCUUUGCUCAGAUAUGUUGGAAACUGUCAUUCCAAUUAUUUAUAACAGCCAAUAAACAUCCAUAGAUUAGACAAAGAAAUUAAUAGACACUCUGAACAAUUGGACGUAGACAUGGUUCAACUAGCAAUACGCUCUUGUGUUAGACUUACACAAUUAUGAAAAAAAAUUGUACCUCUGCCACUACUUCUAGGUCCCAUUGCAAGUGCAGUUAUGAGAUACAAACCGCCUGCUCUUCAACGUGCUAAAUGCCUGCUCAUCAUUGCUGAUUGAAAAGCAUGUAAUCCAAAAAUCCACCAACCUCAUGCAUGUAGGACGAUCGGGAUGGCUGGCGAGCGCAGAGUGACGUGGUGUGAUGAGGACGAUCGCGACGGCUGGCCGACAGGCACACUGGGAUGGGGCGCGUCGAUCGCGGUAGGCUGGCGGCACAGGACUGCGAUCUAGUGACUUGCCUCUGUAGCACCCUCUCAUCUGCCCUCUAAUGCAGAUCCAAUGCUUUUACAAUGCGAUCCAGUUUACAUUGGCCCAACUGAAGACAAGCCACAACAGCUAAAGAAAAGCACAAGCAUAGAAACACAUCCACAUGGCACUUCAACAAAUUUGUUUUUUUUUUAAUUUUCAAGNNNNNNNNNNNNNNNNNNNNNNNNNNNNNNNNNNNNNNNNNNNNNNNNNNNNNNNNNNNNNNNNNNNNNNNNNNNNNNNNNNNNNNNNNNNNNNNNNNNNNNNNNNNNNNNNNNNNNNNNNNNNNNNNNNNNNNNNNNNNNNNNNNNNNNNNNNNNNNNNNNNNNNNNNNNNNNNNNNNNNNNNNNNNNNNNNNNNNNNNNNNNNNNNNNNNNNNNNNNNNNNNNNNNNNNNNNNNNNNNNNNNNNNNNNNNNNNNNNNNNNNNNNNNNNNNNNNNNNNNNNNNNNNNNNNNNNNNNNNNNNNNNNNNNNNAGUACAGAGAUGCAUAGAUGUACAAAGUGAAGGAGGGAGGGGGGGGGGGUGGUGGUGGUGGUCAAAACCACACAACCACUCAACCCCUAAGAGCAGCUAGCCACACAUCAAUAUGAGCCCGGUCACCGGGGGGCAGCCUCGCCCGCCAGAGAACGGCAUCGUCACGGCAGGCUUUGAGGGUGACUGCAAGGGACUGCCGGUCAUUGCGGAAGACGACCGCAUUCCAACGUUUCCAGAGCCUCCAGCAACAAAGGAGGAUGAAGGCAGCGGGCGACGCCCCCCCACAGCGGGAGACGCAUCUAGGCAGUGGAUGGACUCCACCGUUCUCCCAUCCGUCGAUAUGCCGAGGCAUUGCCAGAACUGCGCCGCAAAGGGGCACCCGAAGAUGAGGUGGUUUGCAGUUUCAAGCGCGGCCGAGCAGCAGGGACACCCAGCCUCCACCACCGCCAGGAUGGUUUUCCGCAGGAGCACAUCCCUCGUAUGGAUGCGAGCCAGGGACAGUAGCCAACCGAAGAACGCAACGCGCGAUGGAGCCCGGGACGACCAAAGGAAGGGCGCCGGCGACCACGUGGUCCCCCCGAAGCGGGCAAGGGUGUAAACCCCCCGCGACGGGAGUUUCCCCUUCGGUCCCGAGCAAAGGACAGCCACCCUGGAGUCAGGACCAUCCAGGGGCGGCACCUCCUCCAUGAGACGCUGCACGGAGGCGCACUCACGCACCGCCAAGGGGGUGAGCCGGGGAACGAGAAGGGCACGGACGCCGCUGUGGCGGGCCUCCCAAACCGACACCUCCCGGCGAAGUGCAUGCGAGAACAAGGCGGGGAAGGCCACGAUGAGCGCCCCGCACGGAAGCCACCGAUCAUGCCAGAACAACGUCCGUCCGCCGCCCCCACUUCCACCCUUGUAAGGGCCCGGUAGGUCGGCAACAGCUCGAGAAGGGACUUCCAGUGCUCGCCCGGGAGGGGGGGGGUCGUCCGGUAGCCAGGAGAGAUCCUCCUUCCAUUAGGCCCCAGACCCAAUAGGCCCACCGAGACGGCGCCCGAGAGUGCAGCCUGUGAAGCAGCUUGAGCAGGAGGCAGUCGUUCUGAUCCCGGAGAGACCGGACGCCGAGUCCUCCCUCGGCCUUGGAGCGGCAGACACGCUCCCAGGCGACCAGGCACUGAGCUACCGAGGCCCGGUCCGCCACGUUCCAGAGAAACGCCCGGCGCAGCGCAUCCAGGCGAUCCAGAACCGCCCGCGGAAGGCGCAUGGCCGCCAUGCCGUAAGUGGGGAUGGAGUCGAUGACGACGUUGAUCAACACCAACUUGCCAGCCGGCGAGAGCAGCCGCGCUCGCCACCCAGCCAGGUAACGGUCUACCUUAGCGAGCAUGGGGGCGAAGUCGUCGAGCUUGAGCUUGUCGGACGAGAGAGGCAGGCCAAGGUACGAUUGGGGGAAGGCCCCCACAGUGCACUCGAAGGACGCCAGGACAGAGUCGAGGACCCCGCGCUCGACGUUCAUCGGUACAAGCGUGCUCUUGGAGAAGGUUAUGAUGAGGCCGGUAGCCGCCGCGAAGAGGUCGAGGAUGACCCGAAGCCGCGCAGCGGCCGCGGAAUCAGCACGCAUGAUGAUCAGCGUGUCAUCCGCAUACUGGAGGACCACCGCCGGCGCCCCACCCACCAGAGGGUGGCAGAGAGCCCCGUCGCUCCUGAUCAUGCGCUAGAGGACGUCCGCGACCAGGAGGAACAGGUAAGGGGAGAUGGGAUCCCCCUGGCGCAGCCCGUUCCGGACCGCGAACCAGCGCCCCGACACGCCGUUGAGAAGGACCGCGGCCUUAGUGGAACGGAGGAUGAUGUCCAUCCAGUCACACCAGAGAGCCGGGAACCCCCGGACCUCCAUGAUUCGGCGAAGGCUCGGCCAUGCGAUGGAGUCGAACGCCUUGGCGAAAUCCAGCUUGAAGACAAGCGUGGGAGCCCCCCGCCAGUGGCAACACCGCACCAACUCAGCCGCAUACACAAAGUUCUACGAGAUGCUGCGCCCAGACAGGAACCCUGUCUGGUCAUCAUCGAUGAUGGCUCCGAUCUGCGAUUGAAGCCGAGAGGUCAGCCCCCGGCAGAGGAUUUUCACAUCACCGUUCUGAAGCGAAACGGGACGGAAAUCGCCGGGGCCCGGCACACCAUCCUUCUUCGGGAGCAGGGCAAUGAGAGCACGGUUGAUCCCGUCGAGAGACCGGACGCCAGAAACAACAACGAAAUGACACCAGAAACAACAACUACAGAAAAGCACAAACUGGACAAAUUUGUAGCACGGAACAUUGAAAAUGUGUAGCAUUAACAUAUAAAUUUUGAUCCUUCAAAUUCUACAAAUGAAAAAUCGAACAGCUACAGAACAAAUUUGUAGCAAGGUACAGCUGAACAAAUUUGUAGCACUGAACACUGGAUAUAUUAGGCAAUUAACUACCAGUCAAUCCAAAUAAUGAACUGGAUGCACACAUAUGCUAUAAGAACCAGUACAGGUCAAUUCCUAGCAAUAUCAGUACAUGUCAAUUUCCAUGCUACUUGUCACUGAAAUUCAAAAGCAUCCACGGUAAGGUCAAUUCUUUGCAUUAUCAGUCAAUCCAAUCCAAUAUAAUCCACUAUUUGUAUAUAUGCUAUAAGAACCAGCGGUGACGCUCCACCAAGAACCACACAAACAGCCGGCGACGAGGAUACCGGGUUUGCCGGUGGGAGGAGAUGGAAUUGGGGUAGGGUUGCCUCACUCACAUGGUGGCUAGCGUGCCGGCGUUGGGGAGAGGCGGGGAAUGCAGAUUUUGUGAGCUUAUGCACCCGGGCCUUACUAUCCUAGCACUCUAAUGUUGCUUUGAGAUCUGUGUUACACAACUAUCUUAUUACAUGGAAUUUUCUCUUUUUUGUUCCUCUCAUAUAAAACAUGUCUUGAACUUCAAACUUUGCAGUACAACAUAACUUUGUAACUAGAAUGUGAGAUAAAACUUUUAGAUUUUUUUGUCCGACAUAAAUAUGAAAAAUAAGAUUUUUUAAUCAAACAAAUCUCAUUUUGUAUAUUUAUGUUGGACCAAAAAAUCUGUAAGUUUUAUCCCACAUUCUACAUAGAAAGCUUUGUUGUGCUGCAAAGUUGAAGUGCAAAUACAUGUUCUAUAUGAAAGAAACAAAAAAGAGAAAAUUAUUUGCACAAAUCGUGAUGCAGGAAUGAGUGGUUGGAUAAGGAGUAUCCGCAUGCAUAGGCUCUAAAACAUGUUUUCAGAGAGGCGGGCGUGUCCGGGUGGCGAAAGCAAGGAGCUUGGUCGGGGCGGCGAUCCUCCUUCAUCUGCGGCCGCGUGAGGAGCUCGGUCCAGGAAGUGUGGUUCACCUCGUGAUGUGCGGCGGCGUGAGGAGCUUGGUCUGGGCGGCGGUCCUCCUCGAUCUACGGCGGUGAUCCUGCCCGGCCCGUAACUGCGCUUCACAGCAGCAGCUUUCCGGUCCGUCAGGGCGCUCCUCCCUGGUCCUCACGGCGACGUCGCUCGGCUGCUCGGAACCGGCCCUUCGUGGCGAAGAGCAGGGACGCUCGCGCCAAGCCUGUCCUUUUCCUUUAGAUGUUUUUUGAAGAAAAUGAUUGCAGCGGACCAAAGGCUUCCUUGAACUUCAUGAGCGAUCAUGUGUGGUCCUUGACGUGAUUUUUUGCGUUUAGAGGCAAUGCAGUUUCCUAUUUUUCAGGGAUUGAUUAGCAUCUGUCUUUUUAUGAAACGAAUCGAUUUUUGGACGUGACGUUCCGUGCAGUUCGGUGCUAGGCUCCUGGUCGAGAUCGUCCGGAACGGAUCGAGGUUUUGGACGUGGCGUUCAGAUUUUGUUUUCGGUUUUCUUCUCAUAUUGAGAAGGUUCUUUCCAAACUAUUACAUAGAUCUAUUUUUGAAUCUCAGCCAUUAAUUUUUCACAUUAACACAAGAUCAAUGGAUAUAAAAGGAUGACUUAUGAAGAACUAUGAAAGCCUUCAUCUUUUAAUAUUAGGUAAAGAUAAAGAUAAAGAUUACCUUCUUUUUCUUCUUCAAAUAUAACACUAACCAACUAGAGCCUAUUUUUUUUCAAGUUUUCGUUUGUCCGGUUCUUCUUUUGUUUUUCUCAAUUUUCUUUUCUUCUGAAAAAUUCAUGAACUUUUCCUUCAAUUCAUGAACAUUUUAUUAAAUUCAUGAAUUUUGUUUUCAAAUCCACAAACUCUUUUCAAUUUUUUACAAAGCCUGCGAUUUUUUUUCAAAAUUAAUGAACUUUUUCAGAUCAAUAAACGCUUGGGCCGACCCUGCUAUUUCUUUUCAAAACUAUGAAUCAUUUUCAAAUCCGCAUCAACCUAGCAGUCGGGUCAGGUGAGGUUUGGCGGGUCAAGCUCUCCCAGAUCCAUACCCGAAUAUUUAACGUGUGUACAGUCUGCACACGAUCUCAGAAGGAGACCAGUGCUCUAAGCGGAUGGGCGAUCCGAUCCUGUUAGAAUUCAAUCCCAGGCAUAUCGUUCAUAAUCUAUAAAGACCAAGCAAUCACACAAACACGACAUCAAAUUUGUUAACGAGGUUUACUGAUAUGGCUACAUCCCGGGGUCUAACUACGGGCGCUCCUUCCUAUAACACCGCUAUAAUAUGGCACACCGGCCGUCCGGGCACCGGCACACGUCAUCGGCUCCCCCGCAUGCCUGUACUAUUAUGUUGGCAUAGGUUACAUCGUGUGUCUACCCCUACUAUAAGAGGCAUAGGAUACUACUAGGACACGACUCCAUAUCCAUCUAAACACAAUACUACUCAGAGUCCAACUGUAACCUACCUUGUAUACAAUAUUCAACAUAACUCUAACAAACUCCACAUUGACGAAUAUUAAUUCUCCACCACCUUGAAUUUGUUCAUGCGUCAAACUUCCAUGUACAUUGGACUUGAGUUUAUCGCGUGAGUACCGCUGCUACUCCAAAGACUCCAUGUGACUCCACCUGCAAUUUAUAGUCCCUUCUUUUCUUGACCACAGUCAACACUCGAGCAAAAUUAAGUUCCUUGUUACUCUAGUUUGUGCUCCCAACUUCCAGAGUAUCCAUGCAACGCCAUUGCGCACUGAUCACUGACUUGCGUGAAAGUGAACAACUCACAUAUUGGGUGUCACACAUAAGAGUUACCUGAACUCAACAUCACCGCUCCUUUCUUGACCGUCUGUCUGAAACUUGAAAGAAUUUCACCGUUCCUUGUAGUCAUCCCGAUCAAAUUCGUAGUUGUCUCACCACAUGUAUGACCACCAGAGCCCUGGCAUGUCUUCAUGUCCCAUGCAAACCACAUGCCUCGUCGCUAUUACCGCGUCGAGCCUCCACUGUCCCGGUCGAGUCUCAAGGGUCGCGAACCCACACCACUCAACUCCCACUGCAAAGUACCACCUGUAAAAAUAUGCCCUAGAGCAAUAAUAAAGUUGUUAUUUAUAUUUCCUUAUAUCAUGAUAAAUGUUUAUUAUUCAUGUUAGAAUUGUAUUAACCGAAAACUUACUACAUGUGUGAAUACAUAGACAAACAGAGUGUCACUAGUAUGCCUCUACUUGACUAGCUCGUUGAUCAAAGAUGGUUAAGUUUCCUAGCCAUGGACAAAGAGUUUUCAUUUGAUAAACGGGAUCAAAUCAUUAGAGAAUGAUGUGAUCGACUUGACCCAUCCAUUAUCUUAGCACGAUGAUCGUUUAGUUUGUUGCUAUUGCUUUCUCCAUAACUUAUACAUGUUCCUAUGACUAUGAGAUUAUGCAACUCCCGAAUACCGGAGGAACACUUAGUGUGCUAUCAAACGUCACAACGUAACUGGGUGACUAUAAAGAUGCUCUACAGGUGUCUCCGAUGGUGUUUGUUGAGUUGGCAUAGAUCAAGAUUAGGAUUUGUCACUCCGUGUAUCGGAGAGGUAUCUCUGGGCCCUCUCGGUAAUGCACAUCACUAUAAGCCUUGCAAGCAAUGUAACUAAUGGGUUAGUUACAUGAUGUAGCAUUACAGAACGAGCAAAGAGACUUGCCGGUAAUGAGAUUGAACUAGGUAUUGAAAUACCGACGAUCGAAUCUCGGGUAAGUAACAUACCGAUGACAAAGGGAACAACGUAUGUUGUUAUGCGGUUUGACCGAUAAAGAUCUUCGUAGAAUAUGUAGGAACCAAUAUGAGCAUCAAGGUUCCGCUAUUGGUUAUUGACCGGAGAUGAGUCUCGGUCAUGUCUACAUAGUUCUCGAACCCAUAGGGUCCACACGCUUAACGUUCGAUGACGAUCAGUAUUAUUAGUUUGUGUGUUCUGAUGUACCGAAGGUAGUUAAUUUGGAAUCCUGGAUGUGAUCACGGACAUGACGAGGUGUCUCGAAAUGGUCGAGACAUAAAGAUUGAUAUAUUGGACGGCUAUAUUCGGACACCGGAAGUGUUCCGGGUGGUUUCGGAUAAAACCGGAGUGCCGGAGGGUUACCGAACCCCUCGGGGGAACUAAUGGGCCUAGAUGGGCCUGAUACAUCCAUUUUGCAUCAUGCUUUUAUAUCGAUAUUUAUUGCAUUAUAGGCUGUUAUUACACAUUAUGUCACAAUACUUAUGCAUAUUCUCUCUUAUUUUACAAGGUUUACAUGAAGAGGAGGAAUGCCGGCACCCGGAAUUCUGGGCUGGAAAAGGAGCAAAUAUUAGAGACCUGUUCUGCACAUCUCCAAAAGUCCUGAAACUCCACGGGAGCACUUUUCAGACUAUAUAAAAAAUAUUGGGCGCAAGAAGUACCAGAGGGGGGCCACACCCUGGCCACAAGGGUAGAGGGCGCGCCCUACCCCCUGGGCGCGCCCCCUGCCUCGUGGGCUCCCUGAUGGCCCUCCGAUGCCCAUCUUCUGCUAUAUGAGGUCUUUUGUCCGAGAAAAAAAAUCAUAAGCAAGCUUUCGGGACGGGACUCCGCCGCCACGAGGCGGAACCUUGGCAGAACCAAUCUAGGGCUCUGGCAGAGCUGUUCUGCCGGGGACAGUUCCCUCCGGGAGGGGGAAAUCAUCACCAUUGUCAUCACCAACGAUCCUCUCAUCGGGAGGGGGUCAAUCUCCAUCAACAUAUUCACCAGCAACAUCUCAUCUCAAAUCCUAGUUCAUCUCUUGUAUCCAAUCUUUGUAUCCAAACCUCAGAUUGGUACCUGUGGGUUGCUAGUAGUGUUGAUUACUCCUUGUAGUUGAUGCUAGUUGGUUUACUUGGUGGAAGAUCAUAUGUUCAGACCCAUUAUGCACAUUAAUACCCCUCUUAUUAUGAACAUGAAUAUGCUUUGUGAUUAGUUACAUUUGUUCCUGAGGACAUGGGAGAAGUCUUGCUAUUAGUAGUCAUGUGAAUUUGGUAUUCGUUCGAUACUUUGAUGAGAUGUAUGUUGUCAUCCCUCUAGUGGUGUCAUGUGAACGUCGACUACAUGACACUUCACCAUUGUUUGGGCCUAGAGGGAGGCAUUGGGAAGUAAUAAGUAGAUGAUGGGUUGCUAGAGUGACAGAAGCUUAAACCCUAGUUUAUGCGUUGCUUCGUAAGGGGCUGAUUUGGAUCCAUAUGUUUCAUGCUAUGGUUAGGUUUACCUUAAUACUUCUGUUGUAGUUGCAGAUGCUUGCAAUGGGGGUUAAUCAUAAGUGGGAUGCUUGUCCAAGUAAGGACAGCACCCAAGCACCGGUUCACCCACAUAUCAAAUUAUCAAAGUAUCAAACGUGAAUCAUAUGAUCGUGAUGAAAACUAGCUUGACGAUAAUUCCCAUGCGUCCUCGGGAGCGCUUUCCUUCAUAUAAGAGUUUCUCCAGGCUUGUCCUUUGCUACAAAAGGAUUGGGACAUGUUGCUGCACCUUAUUUACUUUUAUUACUUGCUACUCGAUACAAAUUACCUUAUCACAAAACUAUUUGUUACCGAUAAUUUCAGUGCUUGCAGAGAAUACCUUACUAAAAACUGCUUAUCAUUUCCUUCUGCUCCUCGUUGGGUUCGACACUCUUACUUAUUGAAAAGGCUACGAUAGAUCACCUAUACUUGUGGGUCAUCAAGACUCUUUUCUGGCACCAUUGUCGGGGAGUGAAGCACCUUUGGUAGGUGGAAUUUGGUAAGUAAAAAUUUAUAUAGUGUGCUGAAAUUUACUGUGACUUGUUACUAUGGAACAUAAUCCUUUGAGGGGUUUGUUCGGGUUAUCUUCACCUCGUCCGGAACCAUAAUUAGUUACCCCUCAACCUACUGAACCUACUGAAAAUGUUUACUUUGAAAUUCCUUCGGGUAUGAUAGAGAAACUGCUAGCUAAUCCUUUUGCAGGAGAUGGAACAUUGCAUCCCGAUUUGCACUUAAUCUAUGUGGAUGAAGUUUGUGGAUUAUUUAGACUUGCAGGUAUGCCCGAUGAUGUUAUCAAGAAGAAGGUCUUCCCUUUAUCUUUGAAGGGAGAUGCAUUGACAUGGUAUAGGCUAUGUGAUGAUAUGAGAUCAUGGGACUAUAAGCGAUUGAAAUUGGAAUUUCACCAGAAGUAUUAUCAUGUGCAUCUUGUUCAUCGUGAUCGUAAUUAUAUAUAUAAUUUUUGUCCUCGCGAAGAAGAAAGCAUCGCUCAAGCUUGGGGGAGGCUUAAGUCAGUGUUAUAUUCAUGCCCCAAUCAUGAGCUCUCAAGAGAAAUGAUUAUUCAAAAUUUUUAUGCUCGGCUUUCUAACAACAAUAGGUCCAUGCUCGAUACUUCUUGUACUGAUUCCUUUAUGAUGAAGACUAUUGAAUUCAAAUGGAAUUUAUUGGAGAGAAUUAAAUGCAACUCUGAAGAUUGGGAUCUCGAUGAAGGUAAGGAGUCAGGUAUAACACCUAAGUUUGAUUGUGUUAAAUCUUUUAUGGAUACCGAUGUUUUCCGUAAAUUUAGCACUAAAUAUGGACUUGACUCUGAGAUAGUAGCUUCUUGCUGUGAAUCCUUUGCUACUCAUGUUGAUCUCCCUAAGGAGAAGUGGUUUAAAUAUCAUCCUCCCAUAGAAGUAAAAGUAGUUGAACCUAUUAAAGUUGAAGAAAAUACUAUCACUUAUAAUGAUCCUAUUGUUCUGACUGCUUAUGUUGAGAAACCACCUUUCCCUGUUAGAAUAAAGAAUCAUGCUAAAGCUUCAACUAUGGUUCGUAAAAGUAAUAUUAGAACUUAUGCACCCCCUGAGCAAGUUAAAGUUGAACCUAAUAUUUCUAUUAUUAAAGAUCUUUUGGCUGAUAAUAUUGAUGGGCAUGUUAUUUACUUUUGUGAUGAGACUGCUAGAAUUGCUAAACCUGGUGCUAAAGGUAAACAUAGACCUGUGGUAGGCAUGCCUAUUAUUUCUGUUAAAAUAGGAGAUCAUUGUUAUCAUGGCUUGUGUGAUAUGGGUGCUAGUGCUAGUGCAAUACCUAUUUCCUUAUACAAAGAAAUUAUGCAUGAUAUUGCACCAGCUGAGAUAGAAGAUAUCGAUGUUACCAUUAAGCUUGCUAAUAGAGAUACUAUUUCACUAAUUGGGAUUGUUAGAGACAUUGAAGUCUUGUGUGGGAAGGCUAAAUAUCCUGCUGAUUUCCUUGUUCUUGGUUCCCCUCAAGAUAGCUUUUGUCCCAUUAUAUUUGGUAGACCCUUCUUGAAUACUGUUAAUGCUAAGGUAGAUUGCAAGAAGGAUGUUGUUACUAUUGGUUUGGAUGAUAUGUCCCGUGAGUUUAAUUUUUCUAAAUUUCGUAGACAACCCCGUGAUGAAGAAUUGCCUAGUAAAGAUGGAAUUAUUGGUCUUGCUUCUAUUGUUGUGCCUCCUAAUGAUCCUUUAGAACAAUAUUUGCUAGACCAUGAGAAUGAUAUGUUUAUGAAUGAAAGAAGGGAAAUAGAUGAAUUAUUCUUUAAACAAGGACCCAUUCGGAAACACAAUUUGCCUGGUGAAAUCCUAGGGGAUCCUCCUCCACCCAAGGGUGAUCCCAUGUUUGAGCUUAAACCAUUGCCUGAUACUCUUAAAUAUGCUUACCUUGAUGAAAAGAAGAUAUAUCCUAUUAUUAUUAGUGCUAACCUUUUCAGAGAAGGAGGAAGAAAAAAUAUUGAAAACUCUGAAGAAGCAUCGUGCUGCUAUUGGAUAUACUCUUGAUGAUCUUAAGGGCAUUAGUCCCACUCUAUGUCAACACAAAAUAAACUUAGAGAAAGACGCCAAACCAGUUAUUGAUCACCAACGACGGCUGAAUCCUAAGAUGAAAGAAGUGGUAAGAAAAGAAAUACUAAAGCUCCUUGAGGCAGGUAUAAUUUAUCUCGUUGCUGAUAGUCAGUGGGCACUAGUAGAAAAAGGGGCUUUUGUUCAGGUCUGGUCAGCCCAUUAGUCCCGAUUCUUCCAUGAACCGGGACCAAUGGAUGCAUUCGUCCCGGUUCGUGAGCCCAGGGGGCCGACCGUGGCCUCAUGGGCAUUGGUCCUGGUUCGUCUGGGUCCAUUUGUCCCGGUUCUUGGCACGAACCGAGACUAAUGGGCCUCACUCCUGGCCCACAAACAUAGGUCCCGGUUCUUGGCUCGAACCGGCAGAGAAGGCUGGGCUUUAGUCCCGGUUCCAGCCAAGAACCGGGACCAAUGAGUUUCCUAUAUAUACCCAUCGCUGAUGAGCAGAGCACUCCACAGUGCUCUGUUUUUUGCUGGCCGGCGAGGAAGGGCAUUUGGGUGCUCUAGCUCACCUCUUACGCAUGUGAGGUGUUCGAUGAAAUGCCCGAGCCACAUUAGUUAAGCUUUCUCCUCUCGAAGCUCGACCUCGGAGCUCCAUUUUUUUCGAGAUUUGUCUAGGUUUAGCGGCCCGUCAUGCCCCGUCCUUGUCUUCACCGCCAUCGAUCGCCCGCGCCGAUCUCGUCGCUGGCACCACCGUGGUGAGCCUCUUGUCCUUAUCUUCUUUCUGAAAGAAAAAAAACUUACUUUAGAUAGAUACUUGUCUAAUUUUCUUACUUUUGACACACAUAAUUAUAUAUAAUGCACGCAGAUGAAUCGGCAAUGGAUGUACGGUGACAGACACACCUUCGAGUACAUUAAGGGCGUGCGUAAAUUUCUGGAAGUGGCUGAGGCAAACAAGCAGAAUGGUUUUAUGUGUUGUCCAUGCCCUGAUUGUGGAAAUACGAGGUCUUACUCUGACAAGAAAAUCCUUCGCACCCACCGCUGUAUAAAGGUUUCAUGUCACACUAUAAUGUUUGGACGAUGCACGGAGAAAUAGGGGUUAUGAUGGAAGACAACGAAGAAGAAGAGGACGAUGACAACUAUGUGCCCCUGAAUACAGUGAUGCUGCGACGGGGGAAGCUGAAGAUCAAGAGGAACCAGACGAUGUGCCCGAUGAUGAUCUCCGCCAGGUCAUUGUUGAUGCAAGGGAAAAGUGCAAAAGUGAAAAGGAGAAGCUGAAGAUCGAUCGCAUGUUAGAGGAUCACAAAAAGGGUUGUACCCCAAUUGCGAAGAUGGCAACACAAAGCUCAGUACCGUACUGGAAUUGAUGCAGUGGAAGGCAGAGAAUGCUGUGCCUGACAAAGGAUUUGAGAAGCUACUGGAAAUAUUGAAGAAGAAGCUUCCAAAGGAUAACGAAUUGCCUAACAGUACGUACGCAACAAAGAAGGUCGUAUGCCAUCUAGGAUUGGAGGUGGAGAAGAUACAUGCAUGCCCUAAUGAAUGCAUCCUCUACCGCGGUGCGUACAAGGAUUUGAACGCAUGCCCGGUAUGCAGUGCAUUGCGGUAUAAGAUCAUACGAGAUGACCCUGGUGAUGUUGAGGGCGAGCGCUGCAGGAAGAGGAUUCCUGCGAAAGUGAUGUGGUAUGCUCAUAUAAUACCACGGUUGAAACGACUGUUCAGGAUCAAAGAGCAUGCCAAGUUUAUGCGAUGGCACAGUGAGGACCGUAAGAAAGACAGGAAGUUGAGAGCACCCGCUGACGGGUCGCAGUGGAGAAAAUCGAGAGAAAGUACUGGGCUCAGUUUGCAGGUGACCCAAGGAACGUAUGGUUUGGUUUAAGAGCGGAUGGCAUUAAUCCUUUCGGGGAGCAGAGCAGCAAUCACAGCACCUGGCCCGUGACUCUAUGUAUGUAUAACCUUCCUCCUUGGAUGUGCAUGAAGCAGAAGUUCAUUAUGAUGCCAAUUCUCAUCCAAGGCCCUAAGCAACCCGGCAACGACAUUGAUGUGUACCUAAGGCCAUUAGUUGAAGAACUUUUACAGCUGUGGAAUGGAAAUGGAGUACGUGCGUGGGAUGAGCACAAAAAGGUGGAAUUUAACCUGCAUGGGUUGCUUUUUGUAACCAUCAAUGAUUGGCCCGCUCUCAGUAACCUUUCAGGAUAGACAAACAAGGGAUACCAUGCAUGCACACACUGUUUAGCUGACACUGAAAGUAUAUACCUGGGCAGAUGCAGGAAGAAUGUGUACCUGGGCCAUCAUCAAUUUCUCCCGACCAACCAUCAAUGUCGAAAGAAAGGCAAGCAUUUCAAAGGAGAGGCAUAUCAUCGGAAGAAGCCCGCCAUGCGUACCGGUGAUCACGUACUUGAUAUGGUCUCUGAUUUACACGUAAUAUUUGGAAAGGGUCUCAGCGGACUAGUUGUUCCGAAUGACACUGAGGGACGCACCCAUGUGGAAGAAGAAAUCUAUAUUUUGGGACGUACCCUACUUGAAAGAGCUAGAGGUACACUCUUCAGUCGACGUGAUGCACGUGACGAAGAACCUUUGCGUGAACCUGUUAGGCUUCUUGGGCGUGUAUGGGAAGACAAAAGAUACACCUGAGGCACGAGAGGACCUGCAACGUUUGCAUGAAAAAGACGGCAUGCCUCCAAAGCAGUAUGAAGGUCCUGCCAGCUACGCUCUUACCAAAGAAGAGAAGGAAAUCUUUUUUUGAAUGCCUGCUCAGUAUGAAGGUCCCGACUGGCUUCUCAUCGAAUAUAAAGGGAAUAAUAAAUAUUCCAGAGAAAAAGUUCCAGAACCUAAAGUAUCAUGACUUCCACGUGAUUAUGACCCAACUGCUUCCUGUUGCAUUGAGGGGGCUUCUACCGGAAAACGUCCGACUAGCCAUUGUGAAGCUAUGUGCAUUCCUCAAGGCAAUCUCUCAGAAGGUGAUCAAUCCAGAUAUCAUACCAGGGCUAAGGAGUGAUGUGGCGCAAUGUCUUGUCAGUUUCGAGAUGGUGUUCCCACCAUCCUUCUUCAAGAUCAUGACGCACGUCCUAGUUCAUCUAGUCGACGAGAUUGUCAUUUUGGGCCCCGUAUUUCUACACAAUAUGUUCCCCUUUGAGAGGUUCAUGGGAGUCCUAAAGAAAUAUGUCCAUAACUGGGCUAGGCUAGAAGGAAGAAUCUCCAUGGGCCAUCAAACAGAGGAUGUCAUUGGGUUUUGUGUUGACUUCAUUCCUGGACAUAAGAAGAUAGGUCUCCCUAAAGGCACGCUAGGAGCAGACUCAAUAAUAUGCAGGGACGGGCGUUCUUGGUCUCAAGCACACUACACAGUUCUAUAGAACUCUACCUUGGUGACCCCGUAUGUCGAUGAACACAAGAACAGUCUGCUCUCCAAACACCCGGAGCAGUGUGACAACUGGAUUACAUGUGAACACAUCAUGACUUUCAGCAGUUGGUUGGAAACACGUCUCAGAGGUGACAACACUGUUUGUGAUGAGCUGUACUCGUUGUCCAAGGGACCAUCUUCGACUGUAUUGACUUACAAAGGAUACGAGAUAAAUGGGAAUACAAUUUACACGAUCGCUCAAGAUCAAAAGAGCACCAACCAAAACAGCGGUGUUCGCUUUGAUGCAGCAACCGAGAGGGGAAAGGACACAUAUUAUGGUUACACAAUGGACAUAUGGGAACUUGACUACGGACAUGAUUUUAAGGUCCCUUUGUUUAAGUGCAAAUGGGUCAAUCUGUCAGGAGGCGGGGUACAUGUAGACCCAUAGUACGGAAUGACAAUAGUGGAUCUGAACAAUCUUGGGUACACCGACGAACCGUUCGUCCUAGCCAAUGAUGUGGCACAGGUAAUCUAUGUGAAGGACAUGUCUACCAAACCGAGAAAAAGAAAAGAUAAGGAAGCGAAUACAUCAUACGACGAGCCAAAGCGCCACAUAGUUUCUUCAGGAAAAAGGGACAUCAUGGGAGUGGAGGGCAAGAUAGACAUGUCUGAAGAUUAUGAAAAGUUUAAUGAAAUUCUUCCCUUCAAAGUCAAGGCUGACCCAAGCAUCCUGAUAAACGAUGAAGAUUAUCCAUGGUUAUGGUGCAAUAAGUAAAGCACACAAGCGAAAAAAGUGAAGACUUUCUCUCCACAACUAUUAUGAUGAUACCAUGCCAACUUUCAACCUUUUCGUAGUUCAUUUGAAAUGCAUGUUGUAACAGACGAGUUUCCGUAUGAAAUCCAGAUACUUCGAAAGAGAUUGUCCGUUUUGUACACGAAGUGCAUCCAGUUUUUGCCGUAACCCUCUCUACUUUCUUGCACAUGCUAUGUGGGUGAAAUGAUGAUACCAUGUCAACUUUCAACCUUUUCAGAGUUUAUUUGUAGUGCUUUUCAAUUUCAGGGUCUUAUAGCUCAAAAUAAUAAGUAAAUGCAUACAAAAUAACAAAUGAAGUCAGAAAGGGUUGAAAAUUGAUGAUGUGACUUUGAAUGGUGCAUUUUGAAAACAGAAAAACUAUGGAGUUCAAAUAAGUUCUAAAAAAAUGAAAUCCCUUUGUAAGAGACGAGAUGAAACCCUGAUACUUCGAAAGGGAUUGUCCGUUUUGUACACGAUGUGCAUCUAGUUUUUGCCGUAACCCUCUCUACUUUCUUGCACAUGCUAUGUGGGUGAAAUGAUGAUACCAUGUCAAUUUUCAACCUUUUCAGAGUUCAUUUGUAGUGCUUUUCAAUUUCAGGGUCUUAUAACCCAAAAUAAUCAGUAAAAUAACAAAUAAAAUAAAUAAGUAAUUAUAAAUAGAAUAAAAUAAACUGUAAUAAAAUAUAUAUGUAGAAACAAAAUAAAAUAAAAUAAAAUAAACUUUCAUAGCAUAAAUAAAAUUUAUGAAACUAAAAUUAUCAACGUAUUUUCUGUUCAAAACAUUAUAAGCAACCUCUAGUAUUAUUGAAACAUUAUAAAAUUGAUGCAACUAAAACUAUCAAAGUUUUUCUGCUCAAAAUCAUUCAAAGCAAAAAGAAUUUUCAUAUAGAACUUUUUUUGUUAGAAACUUUAAUAGUAGAAAGAAUUAUCAUAAAAUAAAAUAAAUAAGUAAUUAGAAACAAAAUAAUAUAAAUAAGUAUUUUGUUGUAAGGAGAAACAAAAUAAACUGGGAAAAAAUUAAAAAAAUGCCACUUACUGGGCCACCACGGCCUGAAUAUGACUAGAAACCCAUCCAUGGGCCAGGAUUCAGGCCCGCAGAAGGCCCAGCAGGCCCACGGGCAUAGCAGUGCGAGAUUAGGCCCAGAGGCCUACAAUUCAGAGGAGUUCAAUGGAGAUGGCGGGGCAGGGCUUAUAAACAGGUCCUGCCGCUCCUCGGCUAGCGAGGUGGGACUAAACAUCCCACCGCACCGCGGCUUUGGCAUGCGCAUGCCUUUGGUCCCGGUUGGUGCCACCNNNNNNNNNNNNNNNNNNNNNNNNNNNNNNNNNNNNNNNNNNNNNNNNNNNNNNNNNNNNNNNNNNNNNNNNNNNNNNNNNNNNNNNNNNNNNNNNNNNNNNNNNNNNNNNNNNNNNNNNNNNNNNNNNNNNNNNNNNNNNNNNNNNNNNNNNNNNNNNNNNNNNNNNNNNNNNNNNNNNNNNNNNNNNNNNNNNNNNNNNNNNNNNNNNNNNNNNNNNNNNNNNNNNNNNNNNNNNNNNNNNNNNNNNNNNNNNNNNNNNNNNNNNNNNNNNNNNNNNNNNNNNNNNNNNNNNNNNNNNNNNNNNNNNNNNNNNNNNNNNNNNNNNNNNNNNNNNNNNNNNNNNNNNNNNNNNNNNNNNNNNNNNNNNNNNNNNNNNNNNNNNNNNNNNNNNNNNNNNNNNNNNNNNNNNNNNNNNNNNNNNNNNNNNNNNNNNNNNNNNNNNNNNNNNNNNNNNNNNNNNNNNNNNNNNNNNNNNNNNNNNNNNNNNNNNNNNNNNNNNNNNNNNNNNNNNNNNNNNNNNNNNNNNNNNNNNNNNNNNNNNNNNNNNNNNNNNNNNNNNNNNNNNNNNNNNNNNNNNNNNNNNNNNNNNNNNNNNNNNNNNNNNNNNNNNNNNNNNNNNNNNNNNNNNNNNNNNNNNNNNNNNNNNNNNNNNNNNNNNNNNNNNNNNNNNNNNNNNNNNNNNNNNNNNNNNNNNNNNNNNNNNNNNNNNNNNNNNNNNNNNNNNNNNNNNNNNNNNNNNNNNNNNNNNNNNNNNNNNNNNNNNNNNNNNNNNNNNNNNNNNNNNNNNNNNNNNNNNNNNNNNNNNNNNNNNNNNNGCCCCCCAGUGAGCUCCACUCCCGUUCCCCCUGCGCCUCCGCUGCGCGCUGCAGCCUUUGCCCUGUGCUGCCACCGUCGCCGCCCCUGCCCUGCUCUACCACCGCUGUCGCCCCUGCCCUGCGAGUUGCCGCCGCCACUGCCCCUGCCCCUACGCGUUGCCGUCGCCGGCCCUGCCCCUGCUUCCUAGAAUUUUUUUAGGUUCAUAGAAUUUUUUUCCUUUAAUUGUUUUCAUAUAUAUAGAUGGGUGGAUUGAUGUAUUUAUAUAUAUGGAUGCAUGGAUGGAUUGAUGUGUAUAGAUUUUUUUUAUGUACAUGUCCAAAGAAAAAGGUCUAUUUUUUGGUGAUAUGUAUGUUCAUAUGCUCAUUUAAGAAAAUGUUCAUAUGUUACAUUUAAGAAAAAAGUAAAUGUAUGCAUGUUCAUAUGCAACGACUGUGCAAAGAAUUAUUUUUCGAUGAUAUGAGAUGAGAUGAGAUGUGUUUUAUGGAGACGAGAUGAGAUGUUUGUGGAAUUUUUUUUGUUCAUAGAAUUUACUAAGUUAAAACUAAUAUUAAAAUUGUGUAUGAUCAAAGUCUUUUAUGUAUAUGUUCAUAUUUAGAAGAAAAAGAAGAGGAAAAAGAAGAAGAAAAUGAAGAGGAAAACAAAGAAGAAAAAGAAGGAAAAAAGAGAAGAAGAAAAAAUAGAAUAGAUCUCAUCUAUUCCUUAUUCUAUUUUUUCUUCUUCUCCUCUAUUCCUUCUUCUUCUCCUCUCUUUUUUCUUUCUUUCUUUUUUUCCUUCUUCUUCCUCUUCUUAUUCUUAGUAAGUACUACUUUAUUUUAUUUAUAGUAAGUGCUUAAUUAGUAGUUGAACUGGUUGAUUUAAUAAAAUUACUUUAUUUUACUAUAUAUAGAAGUUGUUUAUUUUUAGUAAGUACUACUUUAUUUUAUUUAUAGUAAUUAAGUGCUUAGUAGUAGUUGAACUAGUUGAUUUAAUAAAACUACUUUAUUUUACUAUAGAAGUAGUUUAUUUUUAGCAAGUAAAUUAAUAGAACUACUUUAUUUUUUUAGUUCAAGCAAUUAUUCCCGCAUCGCCGUCGACAAUGCCUAUCCCGCAUCCUCAUCGUCGACUCGGCGGAGGAGGCCAGCUUGAUCAGAGGGGCCAUGUCCGGGACUGGGCUCCGCCGGCUCCGCCGGGCUGGUAUUGGGAGGUGCUACCUUCCAUGGGGCGUAGGUUGGUGAGGAGCCAGCCCGUCGUUGACCCGAUCCUUGUUUGGUGGCGGUCGCGUGGGCCAGUGACGGUGCCGAGGAUUCCGGACACCGCGGAGGUGGUAUGUCACCGUGUCAGCGAGGAGGACGAGCACAUCCAUCGCUACAUGGUUGCGUUGGAGGGUAGGUUCGACAAUAUCUGGCAGGUUCUUUAGGGAUCUCACAGGAGCGAUCCUGUGAUGGUUCCUUCUCUUUGGGUGUCCACCGCCCGUGCCGAUACCCGUCGGGCGCUACGGUUCUAGCUGUACUAGCGAUGUUAUAUGUAACGCCCUCGAUGCGACUAUAGCUCCCACGUGUCGAGGCACGAAUUAGAGACAUAAUCGCAUUGAAGGCAUAUGUCGCAAGUUAGGCAAUCUUCACAACAUCCCAUGUAAUAUGAAUAAUAAAGGGGAGAACAUAGUUGGCUUACACUCGCCACGUCACAUCAAAGUACAUAAAUAACAUCCAUCAUACAAACACUCAUGGCCCGACUACGGCGCCAAAAUGGAAAAGAACCCAACAUGCGACAAGGCCCCGAAUCAACCCCAACUGGGCACCACUAAUGAUCGUCAGGAAAAGACACGUAGUAAUGCUGAGAGUCCUCGUCGAACUCCCACUUGAGCUCGUACUCGACACCUGGAGUGGAAACAUCUAGACCUGCAUCUAGAGUUAAAGUAUCUGUGAGCCAAAGGGACUCAGCAAUCUCGCACCCUGGCGAUCAAAACUAUUUAAGCUUAUAGGAAGGAUAGGCAGAUAUAUGUGGAGUUGCAGCAAGCGACUAGCAUAUAUGGUGGCUAUCUUAUACGCAAAAGAGAGCGAGAAGAGGAGGCAAAGCGCGAGCGAGAAUCUAGAAGAACAACCUGCGCAAGCAUAACUCCAACACCGUGUCCACUUCCCGGACUCCGCCGGAAAGGGGCCAUCACGGUAACACACAUAGUUGAUUCAUUUUAAUUAAGUUUAAUUCAAGUUAUCUACAACCAGACAUUAACAAAUUCCCAUCUGCCCAUAACCGCGGGCACGACUUUCAAAAGUUCAAUCCCUGCAGGGGAGUCCCAACUUAGCCCAUGACAAGCUCUCACGGUCAACGAAGGAAUAGACCUCCUCCCAAGACGUUCCGAUCAGACUCGGUAUCUCGGUAACUCAAGACACUUCGACAGGUUAAAACAAGACCAGCAACACCGCCCGAAUGUGCCGACAAAUCCUGAUAGGAGCUGCACAUAUCUCUUUCUCAGGGCACACUCAGAUGAGCAAGACGUCGAGUAGGCCAGCCCAGAGUUGCCCCUGGUAGCCCCGGACANNNNNNNNNNNNNNNNNNNNNNNNNNNNNNNNNNNNNNNNNNNNNNNNNNNNNNNNNNNNNNNNNNNNNNNNNNNNNNNNNNNNNNNNNNNNNNNNNNNNNNNNNNNNNNNNNNNNNNNNNNNNNNNNNNNNNNNNNNNNNNNNNNNNNNNNNNNNNNNNNNNNNNNNNNNNNNNNNNNNNNNNNNNNNNNNNNNNNNNNNNNNNNNNNNNNNNNNNNNNNNNNNNNNNNNNNNNNNNNNNNNNNNNNNNNNNNNNNNNNNNNNNNNNNNNNNNNNCAGAACCCAAGGGAAAGAAAAGGGCUAGGUGGCAAAUGGUAAGACCAAUGUUGGGCAUUGCUGGAAAAGCUUUAAUCAAGGAGAAAUAUCAAGGGGUUCCCAUUAUAACCCAACCGCGCAAGGAACGCAAAAUCCGGGAACAUAACACCGAUAUGACGGAAACUAAGGCGGCAAGAGUGGAACAAAACACUAGGCGAGAGGCCGAGCCUUCCACCCUUUACCAAUUAUAUAGAGGCAUUAAGAUAACAUAGCAAUAUAAUGAUAUCCCAACGAGUAAAUAAAUGUUCCAACAAGGAACGCUUCCAAUCUUCACCUGCAACUAGCAACGCUAUAAGAAGGGCUGAGCAAAGCGGUAACAUAGCCAAUCAACGGUUUGCUAGGACAAGGUGGGUUAGAGGUUUGACAUGGCAAUUGGGAGGCUGACAAGCAAAAGGUUGGCAUCGUAGCAUUGGCAUAGGAAAGAGCGAGCAAACUAGCAUAGCAAAGAUAGUAGUGAUUUCGAGGGUAUGAUCAUCUUGCCUGCACAGUUGUCAGAGUUGACUGGAUCCUCACAAGCAAACUCAACGGGCUCCUCGGUAGCGAACUCGUCUCCUGGCUCUACCCAAACAAGACAAACAAGCAACAAAGAUACAAUCAACCACGUGCAAACACAAACAACACAAUGCAAAGAUGACAUGCUAUGCGGGAUGCGAUGCGGGAUGCAAAUUGCAAGAUAUGAUAGGAAAUGCAUGAACCUGGCCUCAACUUGGAAUCCCAAGUGUUCCACUGGAAAGAUGAGAUGAAAUCGCUUGAAAACGAUAUAAAGAUCAUUGGAAUCGGAGUUACGGUUUGGAAAUGGCAAGCGUUUCAAAAAUGACACCGGUCUGCGAUUUACAGUAAGUAGGCAUCUAAAUGCAAUGAAAGGAACAUGCUACAGCCACCAAACAUGACAACAAAAUACAUGGCAGGGAUGUACACAAGAUGCUUAACAAAAGACUAGCACUGAUCCACGGCCAAUUCACCCAUUACGAGGUUCGAACAAGCAUGGCAAAAACGCAAGUGCAAAACAAAUUUCAGACUUAGUGAAAUUAACACUUGUCUGAAAUUUCAGAUCACGAAGCCCUCUUCGGAGCAGCAAAACAACAUGAUACAUGACCUGAUUAAGACAAGUAAGAACAUGACAUGGAGUUACUCAACAAGCUUAACAAAAGACCCAAAGUGACCUGGGGCCAAAAGGGUUCACAAAAUAUACUAACGGGCACACGAACAUAGCUAAAACACAAUCAGUUUUUAGACUUAGUGAAAACUUAGACAUGUUGAAAUAUAACUCACGAAGGCAUGUAAACGAGCUCGAUGCACUCACCACGGUGCAAGUCAUGUCAAGGCAAGCAUACAUCCAUAAAGAAGGCACAAAAUACAAGCUAGACAUGGCAAGAACAAUGGCAUAGCAUGCACGGAUCAACUUCAAUAACAUCGGCAAAAUCGCAAACGAGUUGACGAUCUACCCAGAUUCACCAUGAAGCAAAAGUAGAGCUCGAUUGACUCAAGCUAGGGUGCUCCAUAAUUGCAAACAAAGACAUGGAUGGAUAGAGCAUAACAUGAUUAACAAAACUCCUUUACUGAUCAUCCUCAAAAGAGGCACGGAUCACUAGGAAACAAGCUGAACAUAUGGCAUCAUGAACUAAAUAAUCCCAGACUUAGUGAAAACUACUAAGUCCCUGAAAACAGAUUUACCGGGUGCCUCACUUUGCAAGCUUGCACAAGUCACCACACACAUCCUAAAAAUGCAUGGGUUGCACCUCUGGAAAGAAGACAAAAUCCUUAACAAAACAUAUGAAGGACUCACAGGCAUAGCAUGCACACAAUAAUCAUGGCAAAAAUGACAAAAGUCUAAGAUGAACUAGCAGAUCUGACAAUUAACUCACGAAGCCUCCUUCUAACAGCAUUUUGGGCAUCAAGAUGAACUCAAAUGAAAAUGAUGCAAUGGAACGAAAUGAUGUACUCGUCGAGACGAACAUUUGGUAUACUAUAUGUCCAAAUCGGAGCUAAAGAUGCAAAGUUACGGGGCCUCGAACAUGUGCAUAUGAAGCAAAAAUCUAGGGACUUGGAACAAAAAAAAUAACCCCGCGGAUUAGGGUUACUGUAGCAACCGCGGAUCUUGAUCGGGCGUGGGCGCUCGCCGGCGACGAUGGCGGUGGCGGCCGGACGGAGGGGAGGCNNNNNNNNNNNNNNNNNNNNNNNNNNNNNNNNNNNNNNNNNNNNNNNNNNNNNNNNNNNNNNNNNNNNNNNNNNNNNNNNNNNNNNNNNNNNNNNNNNNNNNNNNNNNNNNNNNNNNNNNNNNNNNNNNNNNNNNNNNNNNNNNNNNNNNNNNNNNNNNNNNNNNNNNNNNNNNNNNNNNNNNNNNNNNNNNNNNNNNNNNNNNNNNNNNNNNNNNNNNNNNNNNNNNNNNNNNNNNNNNNNNNNNNNNNNNNNNNNNNNNNNNNNNNNNNNNNNNNNNNNNNNNNNNNNNNNNNNNNNNNNNNNNNNNNNNNNNNNNNNNNNNNNNNNNNNNNNNNNNNNNNNNNNNNNNNNNNNNNNNNNNNNNNNNNNNNNNNNNNNNNNNNNNNNNNNNNNNNNNNNNNNNNNNNNNNNNNNNNNNNNNNNNNNNNNNNNNNNNNNGACGGCCGGAGGCAGGAGGCAGCACGGGGAGCGCGGCGGGGUUCGGUGGCGCCAGCCACCAGCGCUGGAGAGGGCUGCGGCGAACGAGGCAGGAGGCGGCGGGCGGAUCGGGCCGCGCGGGGGCCCGACUUGGGCUCCGCGGGCCGGCGGCUGUUGGCGGCGGAGAGCGACACGUGGCGGCGCUAGGUUGGUCGGUGGCGGCGGCGUGAGUUGUCCGGUCGGGUCUGACACGUCUGGCCGGCGCGAGGGAAUUUUAGGGUUUCGGGGAGGAAGAAGAGAUCCGAAAACGGGGGGUGUAUAUAUAGGCAUAAGUGGAGCUAGGAGAGUCCAAAUGAGGUGCGGUUUUCGGCCACGCGAUCGUGAUCAAACGCUCUAGGACAUGGAGAAGAGUUUGGUGGGUUUUGGGCCAAAUUGGAGGGGUGUUGGGCUGCAACACACACGAGGCCUUUUCGGUCCCUCGGUUAACCGUUGGAGUAUCAAACGAAGUCCGAAUGAUACGAAACUUGACAGGCGGUCUACCGGUAGUAAACCAAGGCCGCUUGGCAAGUCUUGGUCCAAUCCGGAAAUGUUUAAUCCCCACACAUGAAAGAAAGCUAGAAAUGACCAUCGGAGGAGAACGAAGCGCCGGAAUGCAAAACGGACAACGGGGAAAAUGCUCGAAUGCAUGAGAUGAACACGUAUGCAAAUGCAAUGCACAUGAGACAUGAUAUGAGAUGCAUGACAAAGACAACAACACACAGAGACAAAACCCGAACUCGAGGAAAUAAAUAUAACUUAAUGCCGGAAACGGCAAGAGUUCGAGUACAAAUUGGGAAAGUUACAUCCGGGGUGUUAAAACACUCCACCACUACGAAAAGAUCUCGUCCCGAGAUCUAGGACUGAAAGAACUCCGGGUACUCAGAAUGGAGGUGAUCCUCGUGUUCCCAGGUAGCUUCACGUUCGGAAUGGUGUGACCACUUGACUUUGAGAAAUUUGAUCGACUUGUUGCGAGUCUUGCGUUCAGUCUCUUCAAGAAUAGCAACUGGAUGUUCACGAUAAGAGAGAUCUUCUUGGAGCUCAAUGUCCUCGAAGUUGACUGUGCGGUCAGGAGUCUUGAAGCACUUUCGAAGCUGAGAGACGUGGAACACAUCAUGAACAUUUGCAAAGUUUGAAGGAAGCUCGAGUUGAUAGGCGAGGUCGCCUCUCUUGCUGACAAUCUUGAAAGGUCCCACAUAUCUAGGGGCAAGCUUCCCUUUGAUACCGAAGCGACGAGUACCUUUCAUAGGAGAGACACGGAGGUAAACAUGAUCUCCGAUCUCGAAAGCCAAAUCACGGUGCUUACUAUCAUAGUAGCUCUUCUGGCGGGAUUGGGCUGCUUUGAGGUUAUCACGAAUGACUUUGCACAUUUCUUCUGCUUCUAUGAUUAAGUCAUUACCCAGCAGCUGACGUUCACCGGUUUCAGACCAGUUGAGCGGGGUACGGCACUUCCUACCAUAUAGAAUUUCAAAUGGGGCCUUGCCCGAACUUGCUUGAAAACUGUUAUUGUAGGAGAAUUCAGCGUAAGGAAGACAGUCCUCCCACUUCAUGCCGAAGGAGAUCACACAAGCCCUGAGCAUAUCUUCAAGAAUCUGGUUGACACGCUCGACUUGACCGCUUGUUUGAGGAUGGAAAGCAGUGCUGAAGCGGAUGUUGGUACCCAUGGCCUUCUGAAAAGAAUCCCAAAACUUGGAGGUAAAGAUGCUGCCACGGUCUGAAGAUAUCACUUGAGGAAUACCGUGCAGAGAGACAAUUCGAGAGGUAUAGAGUUCCGCCAAUUGAGCUGCAGUGAUCGACUCUUUGAUAGGCAGAAAAUGAGCCACUUUGGUGAGCUUGUCGAUGACAACGAAUAUAGCAUCAUUGCCACGCUUGGACUUUGGAAACCCAGUUACGAAGUCCAUUUCAAUGUGAUCAAACUUCCAUUCUGGAAUGGCAAGAGGUUGGAGGAGACCAGCUGGCCUUUGGUGUUCUGCCUUCACUCUUCUGCAGACGUCACACUCAUUCACGAAUUGAGCGAUCUCGCGCUUCAUUCGAGUCCACCAAUAAGCUUGCUUGAGGUCCUGAUACAUCUUCGUGCUCCCAGGGUGGAUGGAGAGGAGAGAAUUGUGAGCCUCGUUCAUGAUCACUUUACGGAGGUCAUCUUUGGGCAAAACAAUACGAUCCUCGAAGAAGAGAGUGUCCUUGUCAUCAAGGCGGUAGCACUUGUACUUGGACUGACUCUUGGCAAUCCCAAUCUUCACCUUUUUCACCAUAGCAUCAAGAAGCUGGGCUUGGCGAAUCUGGUCUUCUAAGGUAGGAGAGACUUGAAGGUUGGCGAGGAAACAUUGAGGAACAACUUGCAGAUUCAGUUUGCGGAAAGCUUCACAAAGCUCGGGUUGAUAAGGCUUAAGAAUCAAACUGUUGCAAGAGGCCUUUCUGCUCAAAGCGUCAGCAAUCACAUUGGCCUUGCCUGGAGUAUACUCAAUACUCGGAUUAUACUCUUGAAUCAUUUCGACCCAUUGAGUUUGCCUGAGGUUGAGAUUAGGCUGAGUGAAGAUGUACUUGAGACUCUUGUGAUCAGUGAAAAUGUCCACUUUUCUCCUAAUAGAAGAUGUCUCCAAGUCAAAAGAGCAUGCACAACUGCCGCCAACUCGAGAUCAUGAGUGGGGUAGUUCUUCUCAUUAGGCUUCAACUGGCGAGAUGUAUAAGCAACAACUUUCUUCUCUUGCAUCAAAACUGCGCCAAGACCUUGGAGAGAGGCAUCACAAAAGUCCUCGUACGGCUUGGAUUCAUCAGGCGGAGUCAGAACUGGAGCAGUGAUCAAUUUCUCUUUCAAAGUGUUGAAAGCAAUAUCACACUCCGGAGACCAAACGUACUUGACGUGCUUCUGAAGAAGAUUUGAGAGAGGCUUCGCGAUCUUAGAAAAGUUUUCAACGAAUCUUUGGCAAUAGCUUGCGAGACCGAGAAAACUGCGGAGUUGCUUCACGUUCUGAGGAGGUUCCCAAUUCACAAUUGCAGACACCUUCUCAGGAUUCACGGAAAUGCCCUUGGCAGAGAUGAUAUGACCAAGAUAAAGAACCUCAUCAAGCCAAAAUUCGCACUUGGAGAACUUGGCGUAGAACUGAUGUUCUCUGAGCUUAUCAAGAACCACACUCAAGUGCUUGGCAUGAUCUUCCUUGUUCUUCGAGAAAACCAGAAUGUUGUCGAGAUAGACCAAAACGAAGUCAUUGGUGUAGGCGUUGAAGAUGAAGUUCAUCAUGCGAAAGAACGUCGGAGGAGCGUUGGCGAGGCCAAAAGACAUGACAGUGUAUUCAUAUGAACCAAAGCUUGUUCUGAAUGUUGUCUUGGGAAUAUCUUCUUCACGAAUGCAAAUCUGGUGAUAACCCAUACGGAGAUCAAGCUUGGAGAAUACUUGAGCACCUUUGAGUUGUUCGAACAGUUCAUUGAUGUUGGGAAGUGGGUAUUUGUUCUUGAUGGUCUUCUUGUCACUGGACGGUAAUCAACACAAAGUCGGUCCGUUCCAUCCUUCUUCUUCACAAAAAGAACACCACAACCCCACGGAGAGGAGCUAGGCCGGAUGAGACCCAUUCUUUCUUGCUCAUCGAGUUGCUUCUUCAGCUCCUUCAACUCUUCAGGUCUGAGCUUGUAAGGAAGUUUGCACAUAGGUUCCGUGCCAGGCUCAAGUUCAAUAACGAAUUCAACUGGCCGGUGCGGAGGCAUUCCUGGGAGCUCUUCUGGAAAGACGUCUUGAUAUUCGCAAACGACUGGAAUUUGCGAGAUGGCAUCCAAUUCACCCUUCUCAUUGAGAGAAAACAGACGGAUGGUAUCCUCACGAGCGGCAAAGACAAUUACAUCCUCAGACGAAUGAGUCAAUUGAAUCUGCCUGGCUGCACAAUCAAGCUGAGCCUUGUGCUUAGAAAGCCAAUCCAUUCCGAGAAUAAGAUCAAUAUCCGAGUUACCAAGCACCAUAGGAGAAGAAAGGAACUUGUAGUCGCCCAAUGUGAUAGUAACAUCCGGAGCCAUCAUUUUGGUGUUCAUGAACAAACCCGGAGAAGAAACCGCUAUCGGCUUAGGCAAAUCAAUAGUAUGCACAUCAUGCAUGGAUGCAAAAGGCUUCGACAAAAAUGAUAAAGAUGCACCAGUGUCAAAAAGAACUCUUGCGGGAAUGUCAUUAACAGGAAGGUUACCCAUGAUCACAUCUGGUGAUUCCUCUGCCUGAGCUGCAUUCAGCAAGUUGACCUUGGCGGACUUGGGGUUAUGCUUGACCACAGCUGUACUUGCCGAUCUGAAGGGAGGAGGAGGAGGAAGACGCCUCUGGUUGAAACACUUGUUGGCAUAGUGACCCUUCUGUUGGCACUUGUUGCACGUGACCUCUGAAAGCGGACGGUGAUACGGAGCACUCGAUCUUGGAGCUUGAGACGAAGUCUUGUUCUGAAAGCCAGGGUUGGGUGGGUGGGAAGAACCACUGCCACCUUUGCUCUUAUGCUAAAACGGCUGACGGAACGGAGGAGGAGGAAGCCAAAACUUCUGCUGCUUGGCCACUUGAGUAGAGGAAGAAGGAGUAGCAUCUCUGACUCGCUUCUUGGAAGCAUCACACCUCACUGAGCAGCCUCUUGCUUCAGUGCCAUGUUGUAGAACUCAUCGUAUCUCAACGGCUCAAAGAGGACAAGAGCGAGCUGAAUAUCUUCUCUGAGACCACCCCUGAACUGGUAUAUCAUGCUCUUCUCAUCAGGGACGUCCUUCUUGGCAAAGCGGGCGAGCUUCUGGAACAACUUGUUGUAGUCAUAGACAGACAAAGAGCCUUGCUUCAGAUUGCGGAAUUCCUCACGCUUGCUUUCAACCACACUCUGCGGAAAAUGAUGAGCUCGGAAAUCUCGACGGAAAUCAUCCCAAGUGAUAACACGUCCACCUCUGGAGUCCUUGUACUGCUGGAACCAUUCUGCAGCUUGAUCUUUGAGUUGGAAGGAAGCGAACUUCACAAAGUCCUCAGGCCUGACGUUACUGCACUCGAAAUGCUUACACAGAUCCACAAGCCAAUCGUCAGCAUCGGUUGCCUCAACACAAUUGCUGAAAGUCUUUGGCCCGUUAGCAAGAAACUGGUUGAGUGUAGCAAAGUGACUCUGAUUGCUGCCUUGAUUCCCUUGACUGCCUUGAUUGCGCUCUUGGAGAAUUUGCAUGAUCAGCUGAGUGUUUGCAUUGGUUGCGGCCAUCACAGCUUGCCAUGCCUCUGGAGCAGGUGGAGGCGGUGGCGGAUCUUGAUUCUGGUUCUGACUGGUGCUCUUAGCGGGAGCCAUGCUGAAGAGGUUGACCACCGUUAGCACAUAGACAGAUAAAUGAAGCUGAAACCAACGGAAUGACAAUUGCAACAUAAAGUCUUCACAUCCGAACAAAAUGAACGAAUGCAUUCCUCUUCAAUGGUCACAUAUCCACAAAUUGAGAAGCCACGUAGAAUUAAGGUAGAGAAAUAAAUCAACAAGGUACGGAUCAAGAACGAAUAAUCGGUAAGAAAUCCCAAUCUCAAACCAAUAUCCGUGGAAGAAGAACUAGAGCUACGAGAAUUCCCACCUAUGAAACUCCCGAACCUUUCCGGUUAUGCAAUCAGGUGUUGGGGAUACAGGGGAAGCAUAAUUUCUCACCCAAACUAGCAAAUCCUACAUCCAGCUGUAUCCAUCCUUUAACACAUAACCAAGAAAACUUCGGAAACCAUCUACCUCAACCUUCGAAAAGCAUCCGUUAUACAAGUUAUGGCGAUACUCCCGAACUCCCGCCCCAGUACUGGGUGGCGUCGAGGUUAUCUCACCAACGAACUGCAUAAAAGAGAUUUUCGAUGUCGGCGAACAUAUCUCAAGUAUUCCAGAAUUGCAACGAUAAAAUUAUGAUGACAACACCUCAGAGCUCAACUCCCCGGGACACUUCCACUAAACCCCUGACAGGAGGCACCAAGACAAUGUUCUCAUCAUAAGCCAUCGGAAUGAUUCCAAGAUACUCGCGUGAUCCUAAAUUUUUUUUAGUGAAAUUUGAGAAGAGAAGAGUCAAAACUCUAUGUCAGGAUGCCUUACCAGAGCGAUGAGGAGACUGGGGAGUAAAAAGAAUUCCUAAGCUCUCCGAUAUAUAAUUCCUAAAUGACUCAAAACAUUUUUUUCUAGACACAACUCGGCUGCUAAAACGAUCAAGCAAUAGGGCUCCUAAGGUCGAGGAAGGCUCUGAUUACCAACUUGUAACGCCCUCGAUGCGACUAUAGCUCCCACGUGUCGAGGCACGACUUAGAGACAUAAUCGCAUUGAAGGCAUAUGUCGCAAGUUAGGCAAUCUUCACAACAUCCCAUGUAAUAUGAAUAAUAAAGGGGAGAACAUAGUUGGCUUACACUCGCCACGUCACAUCAGAGUACAUAAAUAGCAUCCAUCAUACAAACACUCAUGGCCCAACUACGGCGCCAAAAUGGAAAAGAACCCAACAUGUGACAAGGCCCCGAAUCAACCCCAACUGGGCACCACUACUGAUCGUCAGGAAAAGACACGUAGUAACGCUGAGAGUCCUCGUCGAACUCCCACUUGAGCUCGUACUCGACACCUGGAGCGGAAACAUCUGGACCUGCAUCUGGAGUUAUAGUAUCUGUGAGCCACAGGGACUCAGCAAUCUCGCACCCUCGCGAUCAAAACUAUUUAAGCUUAUAGGAAGGAUAGGCAGAUAUAUGUGGAGCUGCAGCAAGUGACUAGCAUAUAUGGUGGCUAUCUUAUACGCAAAAGAGAGCGAGAAGAGGAGGCAAAGCGCAAGCGAGAAUCUAGAAGAACAACCUGCGCAAGCAUAACUCCAACACCGUGUCCACUUCCCGGACUCCGCCGGAAAGGGGCCAUCACGGUAACACACACGGUUGAUUCAUUUUAAUUAAGUUUAAUUCAAGUUAUCUACAACCGGACAUUAACAAAUUCCCAUCUGCCCAUAACGGCGGGCACGACUUUCGAAAGUUCAAUCCCUGCAGGGGAGUCCCAACUUAGCCCAUGACAAGCUCUCACGGUCAACGAAGGAAUAGACCUCCUCCCAAGAUGUUCCGAUCAGACUCGGUAUCUCGGUAACUCAAGACACUUCGACAUGUUAAAACAAGACUAGCAACACCGCCCGAAUGUGCCGACAAAUCCUGAUAGGAGCUGCACAUAUCUCUUUCUCAGGGCACACUCAGAUGAGCAAGACGUCGGGUAGGCCAGCCCAGAGUUGCCCCUGGUAGCCCCGGACAUCGCUCAGUGGGACCAACACUCAGAGGAGCACUGGCCCGGGGGGUAAAAUAAGAUGACCCAUGAGUCUGCAGAACCCAAGGGAAAGAAAAGGGCUAGGUGGCAAAUGGUAAGACUAAUGUUGGGCAUUGCUGGAAAAGCUUUAAUCAAGGCGAAAUAUCAAGGGGUUCCCAUUAUAACCCAACCGCGUAAGGAACGCAAAAUCCGGGAACAUAACACCGAUAUGACCGAAACUAAGGCGGCAAGAGUGGAACAAAACACUAGGCGAGAGGCCGAGCCUUCCACCCUUUACCAAUUAUAUAGAGGCAUUAAGAUAACAUAGCAAUCUAAUGAUAUCCCAACGAGUAAAUAAAUGUUCCAACAAGGAACGCUUCCAAUCUUCACCUGCAACUAGCAACGCUAUAAGAGGGGCUGAGCAAAGCGGUAACAUAGCCAAUCAACGGUUCACUAGGACAAGGUGGGUUAGAGGUUUGACAUGGAAAUUGGGAGGCUGACAAGCAAAAGGUAGGCACCGUAGCAUUGGCAUAGCAAAGAGCGAGCAAACCAGCAUAGCAAAGAUAGUAGUGAUUUCGAGGGUAUGAUCAUCUUGCCUGCACAGUUGUCAGAGUUGACUGGAUCCUCACAAGCAAACUCAACGGGCUCCUCGGUAGCGAACUCGUCUCCCGGCUCUACCCAAACAAGACAAACAAGCAACAAAGAUACAAUCAACCACGUGCAAACUCAAACAACACAAUGCAAAGAUGACAUGCUAUGCGGGAUGCGAUGCGGGAUGCAAAUUGCAAGAUAUGACAGGAAAUGCAUGAACCUGGCCUCAAGUUGGAAUCCCAAGUGUGCCACUGAAAAGAUGAGAUGAAAUCGCUUGAAAACAAUAUAAAGAUCAUUGGAAUCGGAGUUACGGUUUGGAAAUGGCAAGCGUUUCAAAAAUGACACCGGUCUGUGAUUUACAGCAAGUAGGCAUCUAAAUGCAAUGAAAGGAACAUGCUACAGCCACCAAACAUGGCAACAAAAUACAUGGCAGGGAUGCACACAAGAUGCUUAACAAAAGACUAGCACUGAGCCACGGCCAAUUCAUCCAUUACGAGGUUCAAACAAGCAUGGCAAAAACGCAAAUGCAAAACAGAUUUCAGACUUAGUGAAAUUAACAGUUGUCUGAAAUUUCAGAUCACGAAGCCCUCUUCGGAGCAGCAAAACAACAUGAUACAUGACCUGAUUAAGACAAGUAAGAACAUGGCAUGGAGCUACUCAACAAGCUUAACAAAAGACCCAAAGUGACCUGGGGCCAAAAGGGUUCACAAAAUAUACUAACGGGCACACGAACAUAGCUAAAACACAAUCAGUUUUCAGACUUAGUGAAAACUUAGACAUGCUGAAAUAUAACUCACGAAGGCAUGUAAACGAGCUCGAUGCACUCACCACGGUGCAAGUCAUGGCAAGGCAAGCAUACAUCCAUAAAGAAGGCACAAAAUACAAGCUAGACAUGGCAAGAACAAUGGCAUAGCAUGCACGGAUCAACUACAAUAACAUCGGCAAAAUCGCAAACGAGUUGACGAUCUGCCCAGAUUCACCAUGAAGCAAAAGUAGAGCUCAAUUGACUCAAGCUAGGGUGCUCCAUAAUUGCAAACAAAGACAUGGAUGGAUAGAGCAUAACAUGAUUAACAAAACUCCUUUACUGAUCAUCCUCAAAAGAGGCACGGAUCACUAGGAAACAAGCUGAACAUAUGGCAUCAUGAACUAAAUAAUCCCAGACUUAGUGAAAACUACUAAGUCCCUGAAAACAGAUUUACCGGGUGCCUCACUUUGCAAGCUUGCACAAGUCACCACACACAUCCUAAAAAUGCAUGGGUUGCACCUCUGGAAAGAAGACAAAAUCCUUAACAAAACAUAUGAGGGACUCACAAGCAUAUCAUGCACACAAUAAUCAUGGCAAAAAUGACAAAAGUCUAAGAUGAACUAGCAGAUCUGACAAUUAACUCACGAAGCCUCCUUCUAACAGCAUUUUGGGCAUCAAGAUGAACUCAAAUGAAAAUGAUGCAAUGGAACGAAAUGAUGUACUCGUCGAGACGAACAUUUGGUAUACUAUAUGUCCAAAGCGGAGCUACGGAUGCAAAGUUACGGGUCCUCGAACAUGUGCAUAUGAAGCAAAAAUCUAGGGACUUGGAACAAAAAAAAACAACCCCGCGGCGGCGGACGAGGCAGGAGGCGGCGGGCGGAUCGGGCCGCACGGGGGCUGGACUUGGGCUCUGCGGGCCGGCGGCUGUUGGCGGCGGAGGGCGACACGUGGCGGCGCUGGGUUGGUCGGCGGCGGCGGCGCGAGUUGUCCGGUCGGGUCGGACACGUCCGGCCGGCGCGAGGGAAUUUUAGGGUUUCGGGGAGGAAGAAGAGAUCCGAAAAUGGGGGGUGUAUAUAUAGGCAUAAGUGGAGCUAGGAGAGUCCAAAUGAGGUGCGGUUUUCGGCCACGCGAUCGUGAUCGAACGCUCUAGGACAUGGAGCAGAGUUUGGUGGGUUUUGGGCCAAAUUGGAGGGGUGUUGGGCUGCAACACACACGAGGCCUUUUCGGUCCCUCGGUUAACCGUUGGAGUAUCAAACGAAGUCCAAAUGAUACGAAACUUGACAGGCGGUCUACCGGCAGUAAACCAAGGCCGCUUGGCAAGUCUCGGUCCAAUCCGGAAAUGUUUAAUCCCCACACACGAAAGAAAGCUAGAAAUGACCAUCGGAGGAGAACAAAGCGCCGGAAUGCAAAACGGACAAUGGGGAAAAUGCUCGAAUGCAUGAGAUGAACACGUAUGCAAAUGCAAUGCACAUGAGACAUGAUACGAGAUGCAUGACAAAGACAACAACACAUGGAGACAAAACCCGAACCCGAGGAAAUAAAUAUAGCUUAAUGCCGGAAACGGCAAUAGUUAGAGUACAAAUUGGGAAAGUUACAUCCGGGGUGUUACAUUAUAUGUAUGAUAGUAUUCAAGGUGUAUUAGUGAUAAUAUUCGACGAUGUACGGACGCAAGAGAUGAUGUACUUUUGCUUAUAAUUGAAUGCAUCCUAAUUUUAAUACUACUUUAUUUUGCGAUUUGAUUUUGCUUAUUGAAUGCUCAAAUUGGAAAACUACUCCUACUUUGAAUGCUAAAAUUGGAGGGCACUAUGCAAGGCGUAUGCAUAUGAUUAGUUGAUAGCUUAUAGGGUUUUUGUUGUCGUAGAAAUCUAGGAGCCCCCCUCCAUCAUCCCCGCCAUCGUCCCCGUCACCGACCCCCUCCGACCUCGAGGUGAGACCAGCCAAAUCCUUUUUUUAGAAAGAUAAUUAAAUGAUAUUUCAGGUUGACUUUAAGUGUGUCGAGUCUCCACCAUAUAUGAGAGGACAAAGAAGCCCGACUGUUGUUGUGGGGGUCGUUUCUCCUUAUUCUCCGGGUGCUAGACCUUUGUUAUGCACUAGGGGAAGAAGGAGUAACGACCAUCACCGACGGUCGCAAAUGUCAGAGAGGAAUCAGUGAGGGAGAGUUCCACCAUAUAUAUAUAUAUAUAUAUAUAUAUAUAUAUAUAUAUAUAUAUAUAUAUAUAUAUGAGAGGACGAAGAAUCUCGACUGUUGUCGUGGGGGUCGCUUCUCCUUCGUUCCCGUGUGCUAGACAUUUUGGUGUAAUGCACUCGGGGACAAGUGAGGAGCGACCAUCACCGAGAUUCGAAUAUAUACACCACGUGAGCUGAGAGUUUUCAAGAAAAGAUUCGACAGACCGAUAGUCAACCCGUGAUGAAUAAUAAUGAUCUAAUUUAGUUUUUGUAGUACAUAUAUUUAAUUGUACAAGUUUAAUCUUUGAAUAUAUGAACGUAGGAAAAGUCAUCAUCAGACGACCAAAGUCUCCCGGGGGAGUGCAGCUGGUGCCACGACGAUCGAGGUCUGUGCGACAUGCCUCACCUGGACGAUGAUCGGCGCUUCAGCAUUAAGCUCGAGGAGACCUUCGAUGUUGAAACGGUACGCAACGACGACAAGUGUUUUUUCGUAAUUAAGCAUGACUACAACUAUUUCAACGUGUAAUUCUCAUCUUUUACAAUUCGAGUAGCUUAUCCCAUGCCAUGCAAGGCGCUAUGUCUUGGAGAGGAUGGGUUUUGAAGACCAUGAAAGUUUUGAAACAAAGAAUAUUCACCUAAGGACUCAUCAUGAUGUGGAUUUUGAAGUAAAGUUGUACAAUUCUGAGAGCGUAACCCAUUUUGGUUGCAAAAAAUGGGAAGCACUUUGCAAGAUGUAUGGUUUUGAUGAGGGUAUAAUUGUCACCAUGGAUCUUGGUGAUCCUGAAAUCGAUCAACACAAUAUGGACAUUUGGGUCCUUCUUGAUACACCUCCAAUUCUACCGCUAUGUGAGUUUAGUUUCUCAAACAUAGUUAUUAGCUAAUUUAUAUUGUUUAUUUCAAAAUAGUUGACAACUCAUUUCCAUUGACAGCUUAUUUUCAUUCUUCAAAGAAUGUGCGGGAGAUGGUAGACAAAACCCACUACACCGAUGGCUCCGAAUUAACUUACAAGGAGAAAAAUCAUCUGAUCGGAUUUUGUACUGACAUUGAGAAUUACAAUAUCUACAAUCAAACUCCUCAACAUUAUGGUCAAUACGUGCCACUAGUGCAUGUGUUCAACUACGGUAACUACCAUGGAGAUACCCAUGUAAGAUUUUUUACUAUUACGACAUCCAUGCAUCUUUUGCAUACUUCUAAAACUAGUACAACAUUGCUAACUAUGAAGUUAUUACUAUGUUUUUCAACAGAUAAUCCCAGAGAAUUGUGUGCCUCAUUUGAUGUAUCAGAAAGGUUGCCUUAAUGUUUUGAACAUACAGCCAGGUCAUCCUACGAAUCUCAACUGUCCAUACCAGAUUUCUAAAAGGAAUGGAGACAUGCAAAUCAAAGGAUGGAAAAAAUGUAUGGACAAUCGUAAGGAGGUUCUUGGAAGCAAAAGGAAGCGAAGCGCAAGAAUUGGAGACAGGAUGAUCUCCAUUCUCCAUAAUGGAGAGUCAGGGUCUAUAUUGUUUUAUGCUAUUUUACCUUAAAGAGGGUAUUUAGGUCCUAAUUAAUACUGAUGAUCAUGUGCUAAGAACAAUUAAGUAGGGUUGGUUCGAUGACUACGAGGAUGAUGAUCGUAUGACUUGUUAUUAAUAACGAGUAGAAGUUGUAUGAUGAUGAUUAGUAGACUUGUUAUUAUAUAUGAUGAUGCAUGUGAUGCAAGCAUGAAGAGUUAUUAUAUAUCAGCGGGUGAAAUGAACAUGGAUUGGAUUGAAGUGAAGGCAACAUGCAUGUGGUGCAUGUCGAAAGUAGUACAAUCCAAACUUGAUCAAGUUAGGAUUAGUAUUACUUUCGACAUGCACCACAUGUUGCCUCACUUCAAUCUAAGUCAUGUUUAGGCAUAGUAGUAGCAGUAGCACGGAGAUAACAAAGGACACAUCCUAUUAGCUACCUAUACCAACCUAAAUUAACCCCCAAAACCCCUAAACCACCUCCUUUCAAAAAAAACCAGCCCCUAAAAUGCCGAGGCGUGGAAGCUUAUUGGUCCCGGUUGGUGCUACCAACCGGGACCAAAGGCCCUCGUGCCUGGGCUCACCGGAGUGGCCACGUGGAGGCCCAUUUGUCCCAGUUGGUAUAAGAACUGGGAAUAAAGGCCUAUGGCAUUAGUACCGACCCUUUAGUCCCGGUUCCCCAACCGGGACAGAUGGGCCUUAUGAACCAGGACAAAUGGCCCUUUUCUACUAGUGGGUAAGUCCUGUCCAUUGUGUCCCUAAGAAGGGAGGUAUCACCGUUGUUCCUAAUGGUAAAGAUGAAUUGAUCCCACAAAGAAUUAUUACAGGUUAUAGGAUGGUAAUUGAUUUCCGCAAAUUAAAUGAAGCUACUAAAAAAGAUCAUUACCCUUUGCCUUUUAUUGAUCAAAUGCUAGAAAGAUUGUCCAAACAUACACAUUUUUGCUUUCUAGAUGGUUACUCUGGCUUCUCUCAAAUACCUGUGUCAGCUGAUGAUCAAGAAAAGACCACUUUUACUUGCCCUUUCGGUACUUUUUCUUAUAGAAGUAUGCCUUUUGGUUUAUGUAAUGCACCUGCUACCUUUCAAAGAUGCAUGAUGGCUAUAUUUUCUGACUUUUGUGAAAAGAUAUGUGAGGUUUUCAUGGACGAUUUUCUCGGUUUAUGGAUCCUAUUUUGAUGAUUUCUUGAGCAACCUUGAUCGAGUUUUGCAGAGAUGUGAAGAAACUAAUCUUGUCUUGAACUGGGAGAAGUGCCACUUUAUGGUUAAUGAAGGUAUUGUCUUGGGGCAUACAAUUUCUGAAAGAGGUAUUGAAGUUGAUAAAGCUAAAGUCGAUGCUAUUGAAAAGAUGCCAUGUCCCAAGGACAUUAAAGGUAUAAGAAGCUUCCUUGGUCACGCCGGUUUUUAUAGUAGGUUCAUUAAGGACUUCUCAAAAAUUUCUCGGCCUCUGACUAACCUAUUACAAAAAGAUAUUCCUUUUGUCUUUGAUGAUGAUUGUGUAGAAGCAUUUUAAAUACUUAAGAAAGCCCUAAUUUCUGCACCUAUUGUUCAGCCACCUGAUUGGAAUUUACCCUUUGAAAUUAUGUGUGAUGCUAGUGAUUAUGUUGUAGGUGCUGUUCUAGGGCAAAGAGUUGAUAAGAAAUUAAAUGUUAUUCAAUAUGCUAGUAAAACUCUAGACAAUGCCUAGAGAAAUUAUGCUACCACUGAAAAGGAAUUCUUAGCAGUUGUAUUUGCUUGUGAUAAGUUCAGACCUUAUAUUGUUGAUUCUAAAGUAACUAUUCACACUGAUCAUGCUGCUAUUAAAUACCUUAUGGAAAAGAAAGAUGCUAAACUUAGACUUAUUAGAUGGGUUCUACUGCUACAAGAAUUUGAUUUGCAUAUUAUUGAUAGAAAGGGAGCUGAGAACCCCGUUGCAGACAACUUGUCUAGGUUAGAAAAUGUUCUUGAUGACCCACUACCAAUUGAUGAUAGCUUUCCUGAUGAACAAUUAAAUGUCAUAAAUGCUUCUUGAACUGCUCCAUGGUAUGCUGAUUAUGCUAAUUAUAUUGUUGCUAAAUUUAUACCACCUAGUUACACAUACCAGCAAAAGAAAAAGUUCUUCUAUAAUUUGAGACAUUACUUUUGGGAUGACCCACAUCUUUAUAAAGAAGGAGUAGAUUGUAUUAUUAUACGUUGUGUACCUGAGCAUGAACAGGAACAAAUCCUACGCAAGUGUCACUCCGAGGCUUAUGGAGGACACCAUGCUGGAGAUAGAACUGCACAUAAGGUAUUAAAAUCCGGGUUUUAUUGGCCCACUCUCUUCAAGGAUGCCCAUAAGUUUGUCUUGUCUUGUGAUGAAUGUCAAAGAAUUGGUGAUAUUAUUAGACGUCAAGAAAUGCCUAUGAAUUAUUCACUUAUUAUUGAACCAUUUGAUGUUUGGGGCUUUAACUAUAUGAGACCUUUUCCUUCCUCUAACGGGUAUACUCAUAUUUUAGUUGUUGUUGAUUACGUUACUAAGUGGGUAGAAGCUAUUCCAACUAGUAGUGCUGAUCAUAACACCUCUAUUAAGAUGCUUAAAGAAGUUAUUUUUCCGAGGUUUGGAGUCCCUAGAUAUUUAAUUACUGAUGGUGGUUCACAUUUUAUUCAUGGUGCUUUUCGUAAAAUGCUUGCUAAGUAUGAUGUUAAUAAUAUAAUUGCAUCUCCUUAUCACCCACUGUCUAGUGGUCAAGUAGAAUUGAGUAACUGAGAGCUCAAAUUAAUUUUGCAAAAGUCUGUUAAUAGAUCUAGAAAGAAUUGGUCCAAGAAACUUGAUGAUGCAUUAUGGGCUUAUAGAACUGCAUAUAAAAAUCCUAUGGGUAUGUCUCCGUAUAAAAUGGUUUAUGGUAAAGCAUGUCACUUACCUCUUGAAUUAGAACAUAAGGCAUAUUGGGAUAUUAAAGAACACAACUAUGACAUCAAACUUGCUGAUGAGAAGAGGCUUUUUGACAUUAGCUCACUUGAUGAUUGGAGAACCCAGGCUUAUGAAAAUGCCAAGCCGUUUAAAGAAAAAGUUAAAAGAUGGCAUGAUAAAAGGAUACAAAAGCGUGAGUUCAAUGUAGGUGAUUAUGUAUUGCUAUACAACUCUCGUUUAAGAUUUUUUGCAGGCAAACUUCUCUCUAAAUGGGAAGGUCCUUACGUUAUCGAGGAGGUCUAUUGUCACAGCCCUAGCUCAGCCCCUGUUGCCUUUGCUUGUUCCUCAUGUCAUCAUGUUUACAAUUUAAAUAAACUUGAAAUGGGGAUUGAUCAAACCCUAGCACCUAAAAGAAAUCAAAUAGGUUCAAAUAAAAUCUUUUUCAAAGAACCCAAAAUGCCUUUGAAAAUGAUCAUUAUUUUUGUUAAAGGUGAAAACCUCUGCCAUAAAUGAUGCAAAUAUUUUCAAGCCAUUCUGGAUAUUUGAAUUAAUUCAUAAAGUAUUUGAAUUGGGGCAUUUAAUUGCUAUACAUAUUAUUAAAUGCUCCACAAUUCUGAAAAUAGCUAAGGGCCUCUUAGAAAAUUCAGUUAUUGCCCAUAAUUAAUUUCAGAAUUUAUAGAAAUGAUUUGGUGUUUUUACUAAAUCAAAAACAAAUUGCAAAAGUAGAAAACAGAAAAAAUGGAAAGGCAGAAGACUUACCAGGUCCUUACCUGGCGCCCACCAACCGGCCCAGCACCCUAGCAGGCCGGCCCAGCCCAGCAGGCCCAGGUGCCAGUCGUCCCCAACCUCCUGCCAGUGGGCAGGAGGGCGCGUGCUGUCGCGCGCUGGCCACGCGCCGGGCCACCUCCUGCUUCCCACCGCUUCCUCGAUGCCCUGGGGGCGCCACGCAGACCCUUGGACCCCCUCGUCCGCUCCCCUCUCUCCCUGCCUCGUCUCUCUCCCUCUCUCUCUCGAACCCGAGCGCAGCCGUCACCGCUGACUAGCACCGCCGUGGCCACAGCCAUUGCCUCGCCUCGCCAACACGCUCAGAGGCUCCGCCUGGUCCCCCUCUUCCUCCUCGCCAUGCCACGCAAGGCGAGGAUCACCAUUGGUCCCGGUUCGUCUGGACCUUUUGGUCCCGGUUGGUGGACCGAACCGGGACCAAUGGGCCUCGCUCCUGGCCCACCACCAUUGGUCCCGGUUGGUGGCUUAAACCGGGACCAAAGGCUUCCCUUUAGUCCCGGUUCAUGUCAUCAACCGGGACCAAUGAGGUGCCUAUAUAUACGCGCAAGAGCAGAGCACAGUGCUCUGUUUUUUCUGGCCGAGGGGGAGAGGGCUUUGUGGUGCUCUAGCUCACCUCCUAUGCACAUGAGGUGUUCGAUGGAAUGCCCGAGCCACACUACUUAAGCUUUCUCCUCUCGAAGCUCGACCUCCAAGCUCCAUUUUCCUCGAGAUUUGUCUACAUUUAGCGGUCCGUUACGCCCCGUCCCUGUCUUCACCGCCGUCGAUCACCCGCGCCGAUCUCAUCACCGACACCACCAUGGUGAGCGUAUUGUUCUUAUCUUCUUUCUGAAAGGAAAAAUAUUCUUACUUGUAUGUUUAGAUAGAUACUUGUAUCAUUUUCUUACAUUUAUUAUUGCAUCUUAUAUAGUGCGAUGGUUUUGGUAUCCGCCCCCGUCGGCCCUCGUCCUGUCUAUGAUUCGGAUUUGGUAUGUAUAUUAUCUUUAUAACUAUUGGUUCAUUUAUUGUUUAUGAAAAUUAUGCCGACCAACGUGACAUAGAUUUUAUUUAUCUAGGAUGUAUGUGAAUCGGAAAUGCCAAGCGACCCUAUUGUCGAUAGGUUAAAUUUAGUUGAAGAAGAAAACAAUUUGUUGAAGGAAAAAAUAAAAAAAAUUGAGGAGGAGAAGAUGAUAUUGGAGUUGCAUGUUGCGGAUGUCGUCGAUGAUCACAAGAUCAAGAUGGAUGCAAUGCGCUUGAAGAUUAGAAAGAUUAGAAAAUAUGCCAUUCAUACCGAGGCUUGGUAUCAUUAUGUCGUUGGAUCAAUUGUUACCUUGGUUGCGAUUAUGAUCGCAUUUGUUUUCGCAUUGAAAUGUUUUACAUAGUUUCAAUGUAUGGUUUAAUUAAUUAGAUGCUCUUGAGAGCUAUAUGUUGUUAGAUGAGAACUAUGUAUGCACUUUGGUUUUAAUGUGAUGAUGAACUUCUAUUAAUUUGGACACUUAAUUAUAUAUAAUGCACGCAGAUGAACCGGCAAUGGAUGUACGGUGACAGACACACCCGCGAAUACAUUAAGGGCGUGCAUGAGUUUCUCGAUGCGGCUGAGGCAAACAAGCAGAAUGGUUUUAUGUGUUGUCCAUGCACUGAAUGUGGGAAUACGAGGUCUUACUCUAACCGGAAAAUCCUUCACUCCCACCUGCUUUACAAGGGUUUCAUGCCACACUAUAAUGUUUGGACGAGGCACGGAGAAAUAGGGGUUAUGAUGGAAGACGGCGAAGAAGAAGAGUAUGAUGACAACUAUGUGCCCCCUGAAUACGGUGAUGCUGCAACGGGGGGAGCUGGUGAAGAUCAAGAGGAACCAGACGAUGUGCCCAAUGAUGCUGCCACGGGUGAAGCUGCUGAAGAUCAAGAGGAACCAGACGAUGUGCCCGAUGAUGAUGAUCUCCGCCUGGUCAUUGUCGAUGCAAGGACGCAAUGCAUUAGUCAAAAGGAGAAGCUGAAGUUCGAUCGCAUGUUAGAGGAUCACAAAAAAGGGUUAUACCCCAAUUACGAAGAUGGCAACACAAAGCUCGGUACCAUACUGGAAUUGCUGCAGUGGAAGGCAGAGAAUGUUGUGGCUGACAAAGGAUUUGAGAAGCUACUGAAAAUAUUGAAGAAGAAGCUUCCAAAGGAUAACGAAUUGCCCGACAGUACAUACGCAGCAAAGAAGGUCGUAUGCCCUCUAGGAUUGGAGGUGGAGAAGAUACAUGCAUGCCCUAAUGACUGCAUCCUCUACCGCGGUGCAUACAAGGAUCUGAACGCAUGCCCGGUAUGCGGUGCAUUGCGGUAUAAGAUCAGACGAGAUGACCGUGGUGAUGUUGACGGCGAGCCCCUCAGGAAGAGGGUUCCUGCGAAGGUGAUGUGGUAUGGUCCUAUAAUACCAUGGUUGAAACGUCUGUUCAGAAACGAAGAGCAUGCCAAGUUGAUGCGAUGGCACAGUGAGAACCGAAAGAAAGAUGGGAAGUUGAGAGCACCCGCUGACGGGUCGCAGUGGAGAAAAAUCGAGAGAAAGUACUGGGAUGAAUUUGCAAAGGACCCAAGGAAUGCAUGGUUUGCUUUAAGCGCGGAUGGCAUUAAUCCUUUCGGGGAGCAGAGCAGCAAUCACAACACCUGGCCCAUGACUCUAUGUAUGUAUAACCUUCCUCCUUGGAUGUGCAUGAAGCGGAAGUUCAUUAUGAUGCCAGUUCUCAUCCAAGGCCCUAAGCAACCCAGCAACGAAAUUGAUGUGUACCUAAGGCCAUUAGUUGAAGAACUUUUACAGCUGUGGAAUGGAAACGGUGUACGUACGUGGGAUGAGCACAGACAGGAGGAAUUUAACCUUAAGGCGUUGUUGUUCGUGACCAUCAACGAUUGGCCCGCUCUCAGUAACCUUUCAGGACAGACAAACAAAGGAUACCACGCAUGCACGCACUGUUUAGAUGACACUGAAAGUAUAUACCUGGACAAAUGCAGGAAGAAUGUAUACAUGGGCCAUCGUCGAUUUCUUCCGACCAACCAUCAAUGUCGAAAGAAAGGCAAGCAUUUCAAAGGCGAGGCAGAUCACCGGAAGAAGCCCGCCAUGCGCACAGGUGAUCACGUGCUUGCUAUGGCCAAUGAUUUACACUACGUAAUCUUUGGAAAGGGUCCCGGUGGACUAGCUGUUCUGAAUGACGCUGAGGGACAUGCACCCAUGUGGAAGAAGAAAUCUAUAUUUUGGGACCUACCCUACUGGAAAGACCUAGAGGUCCGCUCCUCAAUCGACGUGAUGCACGUGACGAAGAACCUUUGCGUGAACCUGCUAGGCUUCUUGGGCGUGUAUGGGAAGACAAAAGAUACACCUGAGGCACGAGAGGACCUGCAACGUUUGCACGAAAAAGAUGGCAUGCCUCCGAAGCAGUAUAAAGGUCCUGCCAGCUACGCUCUUACGAAAGAAGAGAAAGAAAUCUUCUUUGAAUGCCUGCUCAGUAUGAAGGUCACGACUGGCUUCUCGUCGAAUAUAAAGGGAAUAAUAAAUAUGCCAGAGAAAAAGUUUCAAAACCUAAAGUCUCAUGACUGCCACGUGAUUAUGACGCAACUGCUUCCGGUUGCAUUGAGGGGGCUUCUACCGGAAAACGUUCGAUUAGCCAUUGUGAAGCUAUGUGCAUUCCUCAAUGCAAUCUCUCAGAAGGUGAUCGAUCCAGAAAUCGUACCAAGGCUAAGGAGUGAUGUGGCGCAAUGUCUUGUCAGUUUCGAGCUGGUGUUCCCACCAUCCUUCUUCAAUAUCAUGACGCACGUCCUAGUUCAUCUAGUCGACGAGAUUGACAUCCUGGGGCCCGUAUUUCUACACAAUAUGUUCCCCUUUGAGAGGUUCAUGGGUGUCCUAAAGAAAUAUGUCCGUAACCGCGCUAGGCCAGAAGGAAGCAUCUCCAUGGGCCAUCAAACAGAGGAUGUUAUCGGGUUUUGUGUUGACUUCAUUCCUGGCCUUAACAAGAUAGGUCUCCCUAAAUCGCGGUAUGAGGGGAGACUGACUGGAAAAGACACUCUUGGAAGAGACUCAAUAAUAUGCAGGGACGGAUAUUCUUGGUCUCAAGCACACUACACAGUUCUACAGAACUCUACCUUGGUGACCCCGUAUGUCGAUGAACACAAGAACAGUCUGCGCUCCAAACACCCGGAGCAGUGCGACGACUGGAUUACAUGUGAACACAUCAGGACUUUCAGCAGUUGGUUGGAAACACGUCUCAGAGGUGACAACACUGUUUGUGAUGAGUUGUACUUGUUGUCCAGGGGACCAUCUUUGACUGUAUUAACUUACAAAGGAUACGAGAUAAAUGGGAAUACAUUUUACACGAUCGCCCAAGAUCAAAAGAGCACCAACCAAAACAGCGGUGUCCGCUUUGAUGCAGCAACCGAGAGCGGAAAGGACACAUAUUAUGGUUACAUAGUGCACAUAUGGGAACUUGACUACGGACCUGAUUUUAAGGUCCCUUUGUUUAAGUGCAAAUGGGUCAAUCUGUUAGGCGGCGUGGUACAGGUAGACCCACAGUACGGAAUGACAACAGUGGAUCUGAAAAAUCUUGGGUACACUGACGAACCGUUCGUCCUAGCCAAUGAUGUGGCACAGGUUAUCUAUGUGAAGGACAUGUCUGCCAAACCAAGAAAAAGAAAAGAUAAGAAAGCGAAUACAUCAUACGAUGAGCCAAAGCGCCACAUAGUUCUUUCAGGAAAAAGGGACAUCCUGGGAGUGGACGGCAAGACAGACAUGUCUGAAGAUUAUGAAAAGUUUCAUGAAAUUCCUCCCUUCAAUGUCAAGGCUGACCCAAGCAUCCUGAUAAACAAUGAAGAUUAUCCAUGGUUACGGCGCAAUAAGCAAAUGACACAAGCGAAGAAAAAGUGAAGACUUUCUCCCGCAACUAUUAUGAUGAUACCAUGCCAAAUUUGUAACAGACGAACAUGCUACCAUUAUCCGUUUUGUACAUGCACAUGCUAUGUGGGUGAAAUUAUGAUACCAUCCCAACUUUCAACUUUUUCAGAGUUCAUUUGAAAUGCUUUCAUGUCUUAUGGUUCGAAACUUUGAUACUUCGAAAGUGAUUGUCCAUUUUGUACAGGAAGUGCAUCAAGUUUUUGUCGUAACCCUCUCUACUUUUUGGAACAUGCUAUGUGGGUGAAAUGAUGAUACCAUGCCAACUUUCAACCUUUUCAGAGUUCAUUUUGAAAUGCUUUCCAAUUUCAGAGUCAUUUAGCUCAAAGAAUGAAUUAAUAGCAAACAGAAUGAACUACAAAACUUUUAUAAAAAUAAAAACAAUCAAUUAAAAUAUUAUGUUAUGAUCAACUAAAAUAAAACUAUAAUAUUCUUCAAUAGCAAAAAGAAUAUAAUUUUUGUGACCUAAAAUCAAACCAGUGAUUCACACAAAUUUUUAAAAAUUAAAAUUUAAACUAUUCAAAAUUUAAAACUAAUGGCACUAACAGAAAGUUUAUAAUUUUUGUGACCUAAAAGCAAAAAGAAAUCACUAAAAAACUGUAAGUAUUUAGUUGUAAGUAGAAAUAAAAAAUAAAUAGAAAAAAAAUUCUAUUUUUAUAGUAAAGUUAUUCAUAAACUAGUGAUUCACACAAAUUUUUAAAAAUUCAAAUUUAAACUAUUCAAAAUUUAAAACUAAUGGCACUAACAGAAAGUUUAUAAUUUUUGUGACCUAAAAUCAAAAAGAAAUCACUAAAAAACUAUAAGUAUUUAGUUGUAAGUAUAAAUAAAAAAUAAAUAGAAAAAAAUGCCUCCUACUGGGCCUCCACGGCCUGAAUAUGACUAGAAACCCUACAUGGGCCAAGAUUCAGGCCCGCAGAAGGCCCAAUAGGCCCACAGGCAGUAGCAAGUUUAGGCCCGAAAGCCUGCAUUAGAGAGGAGCUCGAAUGGGGAGGCACACCAGCGCUUAUAAACCAGUGCCGGCGCCCUUUAGCUAGUGAUGUGGGACUAAACUUUUGGGCGCGGGGCAGCACAAGGCCAUUGGUCCUGGUUGGUGGCACCAACCUGGACUAAAGGGGGCAUUGGUCACGGUUCGUGGCCCCAACCGUGACCAUUGCCCCCCUUUAGUCCCGGUUGGUGCCACCAGCAGGGUCAUCUAGGGGUCGAGGGUUCCAGGGUCGUCGAUGGAUCGAGGGGUCGAGGAUCGCCGAGGGGUCGAGAGAGGUUUCCUAGUGUCAAAGUAUUGAAGAAAUCCAUGCCUUCAUCAUUAGCCGGAAGUAACCAGGGCAUGUUGGUACGAAGUUCUGCAAAGUUGUUCUAGAAUGGAGUCCCGGAUAGAAUAAUCCGCCUUUUGGUACGAAUUCGGCAAAGGCCUUCCAAAUAGCGAUAUUCGGAAGGCUCUUGCUGAACUUUGUACCAAAAAGCGAAUUAUCCUAUCUGGGACUCCGUUCCAGAACAACUUUGAAGAGCUUCGUACCAUCAUGCACAUGUUACUUUCGCCUAAUGAUGAAGACAUGGUUUUGUUGAAUCCUUUGACACUAGGCAACCUCCCGACACCUCGGCGAUCCUCUCGAACAUGAGAGGAAGAAGAGGGUCAUCUAGGGGUCGAGGGUUCGAGGGUUCUUCUCCUCUAUUCUUUCUUCUCCUCUUUUUUUUCUUCUUCUUCCUCUUUUUUUUAUCGGGAACGAGGGUCGUCGAGGGACAUAGAUGUAGUGUCAUCGUUGUCGAUAUAUACCCCCUCCCGAUAGCUUACUAUGAUUAGGUAGCUAGUUCUACGUUUGGCACUAAUAUAUCCAUCUGUCAUGUUUGAAUAAUAAUUGCCAUGUUGUAAAUAUUUGUAGAAACUAUGGACACCGCCCUAGACGAAGCAACAAAAGAAGCGUUGUUGAGGGACAUAAUCGCAGAAGGAAGUGAUGCCAUCUCGUUGUUUCUCAACGAAACCGAUGGUCUGGAAGGAGAGGGUGAACAAGAUGGCUACGGUGACCUAAUGCCGGUGCAAGAAGAAGAACAUGAGGACGGCUCCGGUGACCCAAUGCCGUUGCAAGAAGGAGACCGUGAUGACGGCUCCGGUGACCGAACCGAGUCCGGCCAGGUAUAUAUAUUAGUUAAGCCUAUGCUGACUAGCUGAUUGAUGCAUUCAUUGUUUUGGUAUGUACACAUAUUAAUUAAGUCUUUGUUCUUUUUUCUAGCCCUCCGGAUCGAGCACAACUUCGGUAAAGAGACGAGGCCCGAAGAAAAAGUUGAGCUCGGAUGAAAAGUUUGAGAUCAUAGCAAUCGCGCCCGACGGCCAACCUAUUGAACCCCUCCGGACAAAGAGCGCAUUUGUUGCUCAGUGUGGGGUUCUAGUUAGGGACAAGAUCCCGAUAAGCAUCCAGCAAUGGUUUAAGCCGACUACAGAAGACCCUGAGGUCUCUUAUGGCAAUGAUAUGCAGAAAAAUGAUCUUUGGACUGAGCUGAAGUCAAAUUUCACCCUACCGCCUGAGGAUAAUCCAGAGAACCCAGUUAAAGAGAAAUUAAUCAAGUCUUUUGCUCUGAAGAGGAUGGCAGAACUAUUCAGGAGGUGGAAGAAAGAGUUGAAUAAGUUUGUCGAAAAUAAUGAGACACCAGAAUUCAAGGGCAGAUAUGAGAAGAUCAGAGAUCACUGGCCCGCAUUUGUGGCCCACAAGACAUCGGAAAAGAGUCAGAAGAUGUCGGCGACAAACAAGCAAAAUGCUGCGAAGAAGAAGCUUCACCAUCGCACGGGGUCAGGUGGCUACCUUGUAGCCCGGCCUAAGUGGUCCAAGACUGAGAAUGAUCUGGUUCAUAAAGGGAUCGAACCAGAGACAAUUAACUAGCCAGAACGUUGCCGGACUUGGUUCUUCGGGGCUGGCGGAACCCUGGACCCUGUAACAGGGAAGUGCAUUUGGACGAACGAUCAAAUGGACAUACCAGUCAGUAAGCUUAAGCAGUAUAUCGAAGUAGCGCAGGAAGGGACGUUCUUUCCAGACAGAGAGAACGACGAGCUCACAAUGGCCCUCGGGAAUCCUGAGCACCCUGGACGGACACGAGGCACGCCAGGCUCCAUUCCGUGGAAGGUUGGGUUUCCGGACGCAGGCGGUUACAAAUCCCAUGAGAGGAGGAAAAAAGUGCAGCAGACCCAAAUGCAGGCGCUGCAAGCAAGGGUAGACGCGAUAGAGGAACGAGAAGCAAAUCGCAGCAAACGUACUGCCGAAGCCUCCCCCGAAGCUACCCCGCCAUCUCAGCGCAGAAGCAGCGUGGCUUCCACCGAGCUGCUUCAGCCGGAGCAUGCCUUGACGGCUCCUGCCAGCUAUCCCGUGGAUGCUAUAACGGAGUAUCAAAAUUGCCACCUUAUGACGCAAUGGAUGAAUUUGAAGGUCAAGGCGGCUGUUGGCUCUGUUUAUCCUACUGAACCCGGCGCAACUUUUCACUGCCGGCCGAUUCCAGAAGGAUAUGUUAGGGUAAUGGUGGAUGAGAUAACAGAGGGAUUUGAGGACCUCCAGCUUAACCACCCUACCGGUGAAGGGGAGACUUGGCUGGGGUCUGCUCUGAAGACUCCAUGCCUAUGGCGGAAGGAGCUCAUCAACCUUUCGAACUGGACGCCACCGCCUCCUCCUCCUCCUCCGGCGAGUCAGGGCACUCCGCCUCCACCGCCUCCUCCUCCGGCGAGUGACGAUCAGGGCCCUCGGCCGGCUCCUUCUCCGGCGCGUGGCGGCACUCCGCCUCCUACUCCGCCUGCGCCGACGCGCCCGAGCAGCCAGCCUCCUCCUUCUCCGCCUCGUCAGCAAGCGCGGAAGAGACCUACCGCCGCUCCAGCUGCUCCGGCGCGUCGUAGUCCUUCUCCUCCGCCUCUUAAGCAAGUAAAGAAGACAACCGCUACAUCUGCUCGGUCGGCGUCUAGCAGUACAACCAGAGGCGGGAGGACAUACAGAUUCGGUCCUUCUCUGAAGACUCCAGAGAAGUUACCAUAUGAGAGGACCCUGGAGGAGAACGCCGAGAUCGCGCGAGAAGAAGUGAGGAACUUCUUUGAAGGGGUGAAAGCAAAGAAACAUCCACCUCCAGAGGAGAAGGUAGAUCGGGUGAAAGUGAAGCGCACUCUGGCUGCCCUGACAAAACCACCGAAGUUUGAUCCGCCAAAAGGAAACUAUGACCGCAUUAUUGGAAAGGAAUUUGCCGAAGCGGAGCGGUCGGGAAGUACUGUCAGUGAUCAAAGGCUGAAAGAACGACGAGCUGGGAAACAAAUUGCCCAGCUCGGCGAACAGGCGAAGCAAUCGUGCCCCCCGCUCAAGGUGCCUAGCCACAACGUCGCUAAUGAUCCGAGGAUGGUGCCCGGUUAUAGCAAUCUUGCAGAUUACCUGCCCGACGAAGUACAUUAUGAACCCAUGGACGUGCAGAUACAAAGAUACGAGUACGGGAAGCCUCUCAUCAAAGAUGAAAGAUCUCUAUCAACGAUGAUGCGAAGAUUGCAUGAUUGGUACUUGAAAAUCUGCAGAGACUCUGGGGGGAGGAGUACUUUGUAUGUGAAAGUUAAAAAGGAGCAUGACCUCGUUGGAAUUGAUCUGUUGUCUGUUCCAUUUGAGGAGUUCUAUCAGUUUUUCAAUCAAUUGGCCCUCGAUAAAACAACGGUCGCCUGCUACUAUCUGUAAGUAGUACUACUUCUGUCAUUAAGUUUCUCUAUAUAGCUUAGCUCUUUCAUUGCAUGUAUUUAUGAUCAUCCUCACUAUAUUAUGCAGAUUGAAGAUCGCCGAAUUGAAGAAAAGACAAGUCGGUGAUAGGGUUCAUUAACACAUAUCUCAUAGAUGCAACUGAGGUUAAACUUCAUGCCGCAGCUACCGAGGCCAACUUGCUACGAUCGUUCGUAAUAAAUCAAAACAAAGAUAUAAUACUCUUUCCUUACAACUUCAGGUGAGUGUUACUGUCUUGUGCGUAUUCGGUUUCCCUUAUAUAUUAGUCAAGGUUAUAGUAAUGUAAUUGAUGAGUUAUGCAUGUGUGUGCAGUUUCCACUAUAUUCUCCUAGAGAUUAAGCUUGAGCAGGGAGUAGUAACUGUUUUAGACUCUAAACAAAAAGAUCCCCAGGACUAUGCAGACAUGACUCAAAUACUCCAGAAGUAAGUUAAAUCGAUCAUUAUCCACCAUAUCAACAACUUUGUUCAUUUCCUGAUAUCAAGUAAUUGUUUUCUUUGUCCGACAGGGUUUGGAGAAAAUUCACCAAAACAGUUCCGGGACUGCCGAAGGAGCAGGAAUUUAGACACCCGAAAGUAAGUACUAUAGUAGCAUGUUCCGCGCAUCUCCUAGUGAUUCAAGCACUAGUUUCAUCAAUACCAUUUAGCAUUCUUACUUAUCAGUUUGAUUGACCUCUAUUUCUUGUAAAGUGGUUGUGGCAGGAACAAGGGAAUGAUUUCUGUGGAUACUACAUCUGCGAGUCCAUCCGCCACACGACCUGUGAGCGGGGCGGGUACUCUAACGAACAAUAUGAAGUACGUAAAUAACAACAUUCACAAUUUUAUUUUAUUACCAUCAUUUGUGUUGAGUUUCAUUCAUUCAUAUAUAUAUGUAUUGACCCCCUUCUUCAAAUUAGAUGUUUCGGAAGCGGGAUGAACUCCUAGCACCAUCUUGCAUGCGAGCAAUUCAAGAGGAAUUGGCGGCAUUCUUUCUUGACCACGUGAUCCCUGAAGACGGAGAAUUCUAUGUGGACCCUGAGUCCGUAUGAUUAUAUUUGUAAGAGAUAAUUAUUGUAUAUAUGUAGCCGGUAGUGUCAGAUAGAUAUACGAGAACUUGUUGUUCGACCAAUCUCUCGGAGAAGGAGAGGUGGUCGAUAUCACUUCUCUCUGUAUGCAUAUAUGUUCAUGACGAUCUUCUGUUUCCUUCGUUUGCUUACUACCUAGCCAGCGUGUCUAGUCCUCUCUAUACGUAUGUAUAGUACGUAGCGUCGACCAAGCACGGACAUAAGAGAGGACACUUCUCUCUAUUAAUUAUAGCUAGCUAACACAAUAUAUGAAACACCUAAAUUAACCCCCCAAAACCCCCAACCCCCCCCCUUAAAAAAAACAAAAACCCCAGCCACAUAAAUGCUGACGCGUGGAUGCCUAUUGGUCCCGGUUGAUGCCACCAACCGGGACAAAGGGUCUCCUGACUGGGCUCUGCGCACUGCCCACGUGGAGGGCCUUUAGUCCCGGUUCUGGAUUGAACCGGGACUAAAGGGGGGAGGUAUUAGUACCGACACUUUAGUCCCGGUUCCGGAACCGGGACUAAAGGCCCUUACGAACCGGGACUAUAGGCUCUUUUUCUACCAGUGCAUUUGGACGGUUGUGAGAGAUUUUUGAGUCCGCCUUGGGGAUUCCCUAACUAUUACUCCCCCAGUCCCAUAAUGUAAGAGAAUUUUUAACACUAGAUUAUUGGAUGGAGGGAGUAUCAAACAAGUUUAUAUUCAAUAAUAAAACCUGAGUGUAUACAAGAUUAUUUUGACCUUUAACUUUAACACCGAGCAUUUUGCUCCGUAACCUUAAUCAAAGUGGUCUGGUUGUUCACACAACACUUUUGUUUUUGUACAAAUGACAACCUAUGCAAUCAAAAAAAGAUGUAAGGGCAUCUUCAAAGGUGACCCAUAGAUUUUCUCCCGCAUUCGUUCGUGGACAGGGGUACCAGUCCGCGGACACGGAUGCCGGAGACCGCCAUUCAGUACGAACAAACUUGACAAAAUUCAUUCAAACCGGGUGGAUUUCACUGAAGUUCGGAUAUAAUUUACAUAAAAGGUCCAUAUUUCGACCAUUUAACAAAAAACUAGAAAAAAUAUCCAAAACACUAUACCAGACAACCACCUCGUACACAUGGCCGCCCUGCCCUGCCACGCCGCUGUCACCCUUUGUGCCGCCUCGUCGUUGUCGUCCCUCCAGCGGCGGAACGCCACCGGAGGGCCACGACAACCUUGUCCGGUGGCUGCCUGCCACUCAUGUAGGAGUCACUCCGCCUCCUGCUACGCUGGGUGGAGUGCCACCGCGACCGCUGCCGAUGUUGCCUUCGGACCCCAAGUGGUGACUUCGCCGCUACCGGCGUUGGCGGAGCAGUUGCGAAGCACCCAUUCCUUGCCUAUGUGUGCAAGCUCGCCUUCAAGCAGCGGCGGCGCUUGGCGGCCAUCUCCGCACUGGUCACGGAGCGGUCGAUUUCCCACACAGCGGUGAGGUCAGGGUCAUUGCGGACCCAAUCCGAUGCCACGUUACUCUUGGCGAACGCGGAGCGGCGACCGGCGUUGUGCCGGUCGUACCUCGCCUGCUGCCUUGUCGCAUGUUCCGCCUCAGAUACAAUGGCCCUCGAGCCCGAGGGACCGCUAUAACCACCUCUUCCAAGGUAGUGGAGGAGGUGGACACACGCCUUCUUGAUUCUGGGUGGCGGGUCCUCUAAGACGGGGAGGUGGCGACGGCGCGGCGGCGACAAGUGCACGUCCAUGCGGCUGUACCGACUAAGUGGCGAGGACGCUGGCUCCUCCUUGACCCAGGGCGAUGACGUCUUGUCAUUCAUGCGGCGUCCGAUUUGGGCGCCGCGGUUGUGCUGGGGCAAGGCCGGCUCGUCCUUCAUAGGUCGGAGCGGAGACGCCGGCUCACGCUUCACGCAGUGGUGUGGCAAGGACGCCGGCUCCUGCUUGACGUGCACCGGCGAUGGUGGCGACGGGCCCUUAUGAUGGUGCCACCACUCUGUCAUUAUCUCGAUCUAACGGACCACAUCUCUAUCCGUCAGAGCGGCUUUCUUAAGGUGUCUUGGACUAGGGGGUACUCACCACGCCAUCUUCCAAUCAGUUAGAUUGGGCUGAGGACCCCAUGGCCGUAUGCUCAUGGGCCAGUUCGGACAGCCGAUGUAUACACAAGGAAGAUUCCACAAGACUUGGUGAUCAAGACAAGGACUCCUCUCCACCGGCGUAUUCGACUAGGACUCCUGUUAUCCUAGGCCUCUAGUGCAUUAUAUAAGCCGAGGCCAGGCUAGUCGGUAGAUUAUUAUGACAUUAGUCAUCAUACAUGUAGGGUUUAGACCACAACAUACGAUCUCGAGGUAAAUCAACUCUUGUAACCCCUAUACUCAUCAAAGUCAAUCAAGCAGGAAGUAGAGUAUUACCUCCAUCAAGAGGGCCCGAACCUUGGUAAACAUCGUGUCCCCUGUCUCCUGUUACCAUCGAUCCUUAGACGCACAGUUCGGGGCCCCCUAACCUAGAUCUGCCAGUUUUGACACCGACAGCGACGGCGACAAGUGCACGUCCAUGCGGCUGUACCGGCUGCGCGGCUAGGACGCUGGAUCCUCCUUCACCCAGGGGCGAUGACGGCUUGUCAUUCAUGCAACGUCCGAUUUGGGCGACGCGGUUGUGCUGGGGAAGGCCGGCUCGUCCUUCAUAGGCCGGAGCGGGGACGCCGGCUCACGCUUCACGCAGUGGCGUGGCGAGGACGCCGGCUCCUGCUUGCCGUGCACCGGCGAUGGUGGCGACGGGCCCUUGUGAUGGUGCGACCACUCUGUCAUUAUCUCGAUCUAACGGACCACAUCUCUAUCCGUCAGAGCAGCUUUCUUAAGGAGUCGGGGCGGCUGCUGCUACGGUGCCUGGUCCUGCUCGUCGCCAGACGAUAUGACGAUCUCCUCCUUCGCGUAGGAGCCAACCGUCGUGGAUGCCGAUGGGUCCGGAGAGUGUGUGUAGCGACGCCAGAACCGUCAGGGGAGGAGCUUGGGCCGAACAUGGGGAAGGGGAGGGGGCGGUGCUCGGGGAGGGGGAGUUCGGCUCUGUGCGUCCCUGACCACGGCUUAAAUAGCCGCGGCCAAGCCAGGCUAAGGGUGGUCAGCCUGCUUCAAUGUGGUGCAGUGGCCGAAGUUGGUUCCUUGGGACGCGGCGUCCACAUUGAAACGGCUAUGCCCGAAAGGUCGCGUCUGUCAGCGUCGCCCUCCCGUCCGGUCAAAUCGCAGCAUCAAUGUCGGCUGAUGCAUGCUCUGGGCCAGCAUGAAUGCGGCGCGGCAAGUGGGCGCUCUUUGAAAAGCGCAGGAGAUGUGGCGGGUUUUUUUUGGUAGGCCAGUCAGACGCAGGCUUGGAAGCAGCCGAGACGCCUGCAAAGGCCCCCCACGUUUGUCACCGGUUUGCGGGAGAAAGUACAUUCGGACCGUCUUGUGAACCGAUACAGACCGGCAUUGGAUAACACAACACGUUCAUUCGUUCAAACCAUGCGGUUCGAACGGUUGUGGGCAAUUUGAGAGUCGCCGUUGGAGAUGCCUUAAAGGAUGCUAAGAAAAUGUAUGGACAAAGAUGACAAAAAUUAUGUGUGUGAGGAGAGAAGGUUAAGUGAGAGCGGUAGAAGAUUACGUGUGUGAGGAUAGAUAAGAUGACAAAAUUAUGUGCGUGAUCAUACAAGAUCUGUACAAGAUUAAUCAACCGACUGCGUGCCUGCACAGGAGUUGAACUAAAAUAUCAAUUUGUUGGGUGAGCGUCGAACGGGAGCUGUACAAAUAUUUUGUCUUUCUCACUUGACUAUGACUUGGUAGCUAGGUAACUACUCUCUCAAUUGAGAAAACCUUCGUCACUUACCAUGCCUACAUGUAUACGUAUGCACACACGAUUGUUAUCAAGAAACAUAUUUUCUCAGUCAUGAUAGAAAAUAAAGAGAUUUUGUCAAUCUUUUUCAGUGCCAAAGGUGCUGAGGUAAUCAGGAUAAUUAACCUGCAACGACUUGACGAAGUAAUUAAGCUUUGUUAAUAUAUUGAGUUCCGUACAUUUGUAGUUAAGUAGAUUAAUUAAAUAAAAUGUAUUUUGAAAUCUGCAGUAUUUAGAGCAUCUACAACCAUAAACACCAAAAUCCGGCCACCAAACGCAGGUGGGCGUCUCCGUGGCCAGGCAGCACAAAAAUUUGAUUCCACAAAUAUGAACACCAUUUGAUCGCUGCCUGACGCCCCCCCUAACCCUAGCAGCCACCUCCUCCUAAUCUCGUCGCCAUCGCCGGAUCACCGCUAGACAAAGGUUGGCGGUGGAUGACGUUGGUGGCUGGGCCUUCCUCUGUGGUCGCUGUAGGGCGCGGCCAUGGCGGAUUCUGGUGCAGGUCCCAUUGAUUUCUGACUACCCAAUUUGAUUUAUUCUUCUCAAUUCUCAAGUGAUAAACGAAAUAAGAAAUAUUGUACUUCUUUCGAUCCUUAUUAAUUGUCGUCGAUUUAGUAUAAUUAUUUUCACAGUUGUAGCAUCAGUCUUUGUUUGCAUUUGCAAAUCUGCAAUCUUCAUUUCCUCGUGUUUGCUUCCCUGCUUUCACCGUCCAGUGUUGACGUGCCUUGUUUUCUUAAGCAUGUUUAUUAAUAUUAAUAUUGCCGGUAAGAGCCUCGAAGGUUUCGUCACUUUUUGUCUCUGCGUCUUACCACAUCGAUCGGAUCAGCUUUGAACAAGGGCAACCACUACUAUAUGUGUCAAUUCCUUCGUGUCAGGUCACCUCACCUGGGUCGUCUCUCUCUAGCCAUGUACCAAUCACAGCAAGAACGCCAUGUCUACACCUUCGGAACGGGUUACAUCGACAACGGCGUGCCCACCCACUACACUCCUGAUCCAAGCCCUCCGGCCCAAGCUCCCCCACGCCGGCGUUUGACCCCAUGCCGCAUCCUGGUGAGAGUCUUCAUCGGCGUCUGCACCUUCAUAGGCGUCCUCUCCCUCCUCAUCUGGCUUAUCUACCGUCCUCGGACGAUCCAGAUGGCCGUGGACUCGGCAACACUCUGGAGCUUCAACCUGAACUCGACGACGAGCCUCCCGCUGCUGUCCUACAACCUCACAGCCGGUGUGUCCAUCUCGAACCCGAGCAAACGGGUAUCCGUCUACUACGACCGGCUGCAGGUGGAGGGAUUCUACCAGGAAGAGCGGUUCGGCCGUGCCGCCUUGCCGCUGUCGUUCCAGGGCGUCCGGCGGACCAACGCGGUGCGAGCCGUGCUCCAGGGGAGCUCCACCGGAUACUUCGAUAACGCGACGGGAAGUGGAACGGGUGUCUUCCCCGUUGACCUGUGGGUCGUUGGCACCGUGCGGUACAAGUAUGGCGACCUGACGACAACGUCCGCGAGUACGCUGUCGGUGAAAUGCCCACUUGUGCUGCAGCUGAUGGAGGCCUCAACCAGGGUCGAGUGUAUUGUGAUCAGCUCUUGAAUCUACUAGAGCUUUGUAUCCUAGCCGAUGCAGGUGUUCUGUACUCAUCUGUAAGAGCACGCUGUUGGUGAAAUGCCCGAUUGUGCUGCAGCUGAUGGAGGCCUACCAGAGUCGAGUGUAUUGUGAUCACCUCUUAAUUCUACUAGAGCUUUGUAUGCUGGCCGAUGCAGGUGUUCCGCGCUCAUCUGGAAAACGGCAAUAGAGGCAAGCACCCGUGGAGUCCUCGACAGGCCCGAGUUGCUCUGAGUUUUUCUUUUUCGGUUUAUAAUUAGUAGCAAAAUCAAAAUAUAAGAGCGUUAAGAUCACUAAAAUAGUAAUCUAAAUGCUCUUAUAUUUCUUUAUGGAGGGAGUAUCAUCUAGAUGAAAAUUAACAAAGUGUCAUCUAACUCGCGUGCGCUAUGUGAUUGACCCUUUUUUUUGAGUUAUGACUUCCUCUGAAUUGGUUAGUCAUUUAAAUAAAACUUGAAAUGGUUUUUGUAGACAGGAAUAGAGAGCCAACAUAAUCUCCCAUGCUCUAUAGCAUCACGCGUGUAGAUCUUCGAAACUAUGCCCUAUGUUGCUAUGUCUCAAUGAUUUUUUAUUUUGAGUUCAAACUAGCCACGUGGAAUCUAAUUUUGAAGCCCUUGUUGAUACAAAGCCAAUGAUGAAACCUAUGUGGUAAGCAAUACAAACUACUCAAAAAGAAACCGAAUAGCAAAUCAGUUUAGGCUGCAAAGCUUUUUUUCUUUUCUGGAAAACGCCUUCAAUUGAGAUAAUGUCACCAUCAUUUGUUUUUGGUUGUGCGCACUUAGCAAUUCCACUUCUUCCCUGUAUGUGCACCUACCAAUGAUUUCUUUCGCAUGUCAAGCAUAGUUUGAUAUUAACUUCUUUGCAUAGAGAAGGAACAAUUUUGAUUGGAUCAUGCUAUAGUGCUACAAUUCUAACAUUCGCUCGUUAGAUUUUCCGUUUUACAUGGAGUGGACUGACUAUAUAAUGACCGUUCAGUUGCUUCCAACCUCUCCUGCUCGAGCUCUAGCGCAACAAGGCACAUGAGGCAGAGCCGUGUGUGGUUUUUUGUUGCACCAGGCCGAGGAGAGCUAACGUUACUUUUGCAGGCGCACGAGGCCGAGAAGAGCACUCACGCAAGGGUGGCAGGCCCAUUACCGGAUUUCAUCUCCACUAGUUUGGGAAGGAUCUAGAACCUUCCCUGAACCAGUUUUGUUUCUCCCACUUUAUUGUUUUUAGUUUUUUCUUUUUAUUUUCCUUUUUAUUUUUUCCUUUUUAUUUCUAAUUUUAUUUAGUAUUUUUUUGAUUUACAUUUCUUUUUGGCCUUUUUGUUUUUAUAUUCAUUUUUUCGAACAGCUUUCAAAUUGAUGAACAUUUUUUUAAAAUCGUGAACAUUUCUUAAAAUACAUUAACUUGUCUUUGAAUGGCGAACACUUUUAAAACUCGUGAAUAUUUUUUAAAAUACGCGAAUAUUCUUUCAACUUUGACAGUUUUUUGAACAGGGGAAAAUUGUUUUGAACCGAAGAGCUCUUUUGGUAUUUGGAACCAAUUUUAAAAAUUAAGGAACAUUUUUUAUUUUGAAAAAAAUUCUUGAGCUCAUGGAUGCUUAUUGAAUCAGUGAAUUUGAAUUUCUUUGAACAUUUUGUGAAAUUCAUGAACAAUAUUAGAAAUACAUGAACAUUUUUUAACAUUUUUAACAUAUUAUAGAAAUUCAUGGACUUUUUAAAAAAAUUGUGAACACUUUUUGAAUUUAUUUACAUUUUUUGAAUACAUGAGCAUUUAUCAUUUUUUUAAUGUGGGAACAUUUUUCAAAAUCACGAACAUUUUAGGAUUUCCUUGAUAUUUUUAAAACCUUGCACACUGUUUCUAAUUCAUGGACAUUUUAUGAUUUGUACACUUUAUUUUUCAAAAUUCGCAACUUCUUUUGAAAUUCGGAACUUUUAUGAAAACCUGAAUUAUUUAACAGAAAAAACAUAGGAAAAAGUAUUGGCCCGAAGCAGUCAAUCAUUAUCACUUCGGCCAGUUUACAUGGGCGAGACGUGAGUCGGGGCGAGGGGCAUGCAACGAGGCCAUGAAAGACACAGUGACUAGUAGCACACGAUUUGACAACCUCCAGUUCUAUCCUGAUCUAGUAGAGUGCGUGUGUUCUCGUUAUUCACAUGUCUUGGGCAGCUUAUACAAAGUACAAAAUCUGUUUUGGUAGAUCCAAGAGAUCAUGAUAGUGUGACAAAAGUUACCUGUAAUUAGUUGUCAUGCAUCUACCAAGCUCAAAGAUAUUCACAAUACGUCAUAUGUGACACGAGUCUGCCUACAAACAAUUAUUGGCAUAAAGUUGAAAAAACUAUUGGACAAUGUACUCUUGCCUUGAUAAGUAAUGUGUUCUGGCGAGUGGAACUAAAGUUGGAAGAUAUAGAUGUUGAGUCGGCAAAUUUAUCCCAGAUUAUCGAGAUUUGAUAUGGUUCUCUCUCUUCACGCUUUGGCGGCUCUCGGUUCUACUUUUUCCAAGAUUCGGUUUUGGUAAUAGCAUUCCACGUAAUUAACCCCCUCCUAUCUUUUUCUAAAAAAUAAUCUCGUCCUCAUUCAUCCAUCAACUCAACACCAACAGGUGGAAAAUAGAUGCGUAAGUUAUUUUACCAAUGGCAAAAUCAUAAUUCAGUGGUAGGAAAUUUAGAAAAAUGCAAUCAUUGUAGAUAAUGUGCCUUGUAUUAGCACCUAGGGAAUACAUUCCUUGUAUUAGAUUUUUUUUUGUAACCCAUAUAAAUCACAACAUAUAUAAAUAUACACUCUAGGAAUUUCUACUGUUGGCCCAAAAAAAUGUGCUUGUUCCCCAACAAUAGUUAUCGACAUAGUGGGAAAGGUGGUUACAAAUCGAAGCUUUUCGACAUUAUGAAUGUUGAGCCAAAAUCCGUCGAGAGGAACUUAAGUUGAGAUAUGCAUAUGCAAAGUUUGCAGAAAUCCUGAUCAUCCGGACGAGAUGGUGGCCUCUCCUCACACUUUAGCAACUCCAGGUUUUUCCUUUAUUGGACUCUAUUUCGGUAAAUGUGCACCACUAUUUCGGUAAAUGUGCACCACUCAUCAACACAAAAUUAACCUUCUCGUAACUUUUUAAAUUAACCCCCCUUCCCUGCCUCGCUCCACUGCCGAAACACGACAAAGUGACAUCUAAAUGUUUUGUGGAAGUUAGGAUAUUUAUCGCGUGACGACUAUAAAGGGGGGGGGGGCGCAAGAGGUGCAGAUCACCCAUUGACAACCUAAAUACAAGUAAGGUAACCAAAUAACGUAGGUGUGCUCUCAGCGAACUUCCAAUGAGAGUCAUGUUCGGAGGCGAGGUAUUAUUCGCUCUAACAUCAUACUCCAUUGAAUCUUUGUACAAAGCUAGACUAUUUUGGUAAUGGCACAAUUAAAUAAGUUCACAUAUUUGUUCUCAUGCCAUUAAACAAUUAAUUUUGUGAAUAAGUGCCCAACCUUAAUAUAUAAAUCUAUGUAGCUGGCAAUGCUCAAGGUCUAGCCGUCAAUUUAUUGUGUGUUCGAAUCGCUCGAUGAUGUGGUUUGCUUUUUACUACAGGGUAUGAGAUUUGGUUGGUUCAGAACUAGUUACCCACUUAAUAGCAAUUGUUAGUGUUAUACUAUAUUAGAUGCACCAAGGAACCCUCUUUUAAGUAAUUUUAAUGUUCGCAAGUGUCGUUAUGCAGCUAUACUGAAUGAAAGAAACACUCAAAUUGCGAAAAAAUUCCUUUUGAAGUAGAAAUAGAGAAGGGUGUGAAUAUAUUUUGUUGGCAGUUUGAGUUAACAAGGGCAAAUGAAUAGUAUGUGCUAUUGGACCAGACCGACUGAAAAUAGGUCAGUGAUUCUAAAGAGGAAUAUAAGAAUACCAGAUUCCCAUAGAGAAAUAUACACGGUAGGGAGAACUACAUAUUGGUUCACCUAAAAAAAGGAUUGUGAGGUUUCUCCCAAAAAGGAAUGAUGGGAAUAAUUAGUUGAAGAUAUGUGCAAAACCAUACAUAAAAUGUACUCCACAUUUACGUGGUAAUUCUAAAAUUGCGAGUCAAAACUAGCCAUCUUAAUCCAGAUUAAUUUCCUCAAGACAUAAUUUAGUUGUACUACUACAAAAAAUUGAAUUCAUAUUGCAUAGCUAUGAAAAAGGUAACAUAAGUACUCUUCAAAACACCAAAUCAUGUCUACAAGAAUUCUGGAAAAUGGCUCUACAGUCGAACGCAAAACCUUUCAAUAUUGUAAUUUCAAACUAAUGCAUAUCUAUGUAAUGCAGCAAUACCACUGGAAUUUGAGAGGAAACAGUUCAAUCUUCGCUUGUCAUGAUGUGUAUGGAGGAGACGACGCUUGCAACGUAUUGGUGUUAACCUUUCUAUACCAAGGUACUGCCUAGGAUAAAUUCUUCUAGAAAAGCAAAAUCCUUUGGAAGUUCUGCAAUUACAUCAUGUGCUGCCAGCACUAUACUAACCCCUUUGCCCCCCUCCCCAUGCACACACGCAAAGAGAUUAAAAAGUAUUUGCAAAUACAACAUGCACUCCCAACACUAUAUAAACCCUGUCCUCCUCCUCCUCCUGCACAUAGGGUAUUUGAAUCCUCUCAAAGACAAACGAUCAGGCACCACCUUUGCCACCUGACCGUGCUUGCAAUGGAAAUUCCAGGGGCAUCAUCUCGGCGCUCCGUGGCCAUGUCGUCAACCUCACUGCUAAAGCGAUGCAGUGGCAUGGCACAGUCGCGAAAAGGGUGCCGCUAUGACCCAGAGAGAGCCGGCAUCGGGAUUGUCUCGGCUAUUAUGGAACCAACCGAUGCACGCCUACACAUCGUCGGGCCUCUCAUCCACACCAACGCACGUGAGAUCCUAGAGGUUACACUGCCAAACCUUAUUUGGAGCAAUAGGAGGCCAUUCCGAGCAGCCAUACUUUCAUCUGGUCUAUGCCGCAGCUGGAUCGGUAGUGGCACCGUCUACAUGUACAAGUAAGAAAUUUAUUGUCAACUCAGCACCUCCCCUUAGCAUCCAAGAAAAGUUAAUUAUAUUAUAUGCAUGAUUCGCCUUUUUUGUCGCAGAGGUGAGAUGGGAUUCUGUAAACCGGAGUGUGGCAACGACUAUAUUGUGGAGCAAUUGGAAAAACAGAGAUGGAGGCUGAGGUGGUGUCAAAGAGAAAAGGUCCCACCAAUGGAGGACGAUAAGGAAGGCAAUCAGAGCUCCAUGUUCUUCACCUGCGCUGGUAGCCUAUGAUGCACCUACAUAUAUGUUUGAGAGAUGUAUGGGCUUAGAAGGACUGGAACUUAUUUUUCACAACUGUAUAACUUGGUGCUUUUGUAAGUAACAGAACACCUGAUGGUUAGUAAAUAGCAAUACACUUUUGACAUGGUACGAGCAUAUCUCUUCAUUCACAUGAAACGACGCUUGCAUACACUCGAGAUAGUGAUACACCACACAUUACAUGCUAGCUGUACAACACUUCCAAGCAUAUUGUCA
rnacentral:lncRNA from 1 species